UUUUUUUUUUUCUAAGUAGAUUUUUUUCAUAUUAACAAAAACUUCACCCCAAUUCUAAUUUGUAUGUGAGACCCAAGAAAUGACGCAUGAAAAAUUUACAUAGGCACAUCACAUUGGACCUGAAAUGGGGACAAUUUUAACAAUCUACUUAGUUGGAUUGGGCCCAAAUUAAAGGGUCUCAAAUCGGGUUACAAUAAAUGGGUCCAAAGAAUAGUUCCCAAAUUAGAAGGUCUCAAACGCUAAUAUACUAUACAAAAACAAAACAAAAUCAGAUAAGGGAAAUAAAUGGGGAAGAUAAAGGGUUAAGUGGAAGGAGAUAGUGGGGGACAAGAAAAGACAGAUGUGGGGAAUGGUUUUUAAACAAAACCAGGUGGUUUUGAAUUGGGGAGGGUAAUUUGGGUAGGAAAAAAAUGUUAAAUGACGUUAUCACCCUCCCUUGUCACUUUAAUUACGAUAAAACAGGCUAAAAAAUUAAAUUCGAAUCCUUCGAGUCAAUACUUCUCGAGUCAAAUAUAAUUUCCGUUAAUAAAAUAUCAUGUGUCCUUGGUUAAUAAAAUAUCAUAUGUACGUGCAUAGAUUCUAUCUUAGAUUCUCUUCAUGGGUACUAGAGAUCAGAAGUCCCAAUUCCCAUAUUUGUACUUGUAUAAUAUUUUCAGUUCUAUGAGAAGAAGAGGUUUGUAUAGUAUAUGACAUGACAUAUACAAGCUAGAAAUGACCAGGCCUGGCCCCAAUGAUGUGGUCAUCUUAUGGUAGCUUUUGUCCUUCUAUUAAAUAUGAAAAAUUGCCAUAAUUUCCUUGUGUAUUAUCCUGUCAAUAACAGCCAUUGGCUCAAUACUUCUAUAUUCUGUGUAGUGCACAAACUUAAUUUUGAUGCUAUUGCUAAGAGGCGGGUCUAAAACUAGAGUUCAAACCAACAAAGCAAAAUAACUUGGGGGUUCUUGGUAGAUAGAGCUGAUUAUUUUAUGAGUCAUUGUUAUUGUUUUAUGCACCGAUACCUACACCAACGAGAGAGGAUUUGAGUCGGUUAGUACUCAGCUUUUGUUAAGAAAAAAUUAUAGCACUACUAUAUACUCCUCCGUUCAAAUUUACUUGUGAUUUUUUUAUAAUUUGAUUUUUAUUUUUACUUUUUAUUUUUGACAAAUCAAGAAAAUAUAAAUUAUUUUUUCAUGUUUUACCCUUGCAUUAAUUAUUUAUUCUCCAAAUUAUUUUUCAAUAUCUAUUGUGGUGUAAUAUACCACAAUUACAAUAAAUGAUUACAGGUGAAAAUAAAAUGAAUAAAAGUGAAGAAAAUAAAAUAAUCUUCUUCUUGGCUGAGGCGCGGAUAUCUCGCUUUCUUUAAGGAGAUUCAAGCCUACAGCGACACCCCGAUCCAGCAGUAUAUCUCUUGACUUGUCCCCUCCAGGAUACAACAGCCCAUCAACGAUGUACAACUCAAACAACUCCGGAUUAGUUGAAGAGUCCAAAACUCCACCAUAAGAACGUCUUCCUUCAACAUAUAUUUACUCUCUUUGUAUAGUGAAUAUAACUAAUGACUUAGAAUAUUUUCUUUGUCUCAACUCUUUAUUUCACUAGUAUAAUAACUCCUUUUUGUAUAGUGAAUAUAGUUGUAGAUUUAGAAUAUUUUCUUUGUUUCAACUCUAUCUUUCACUACUACACACUAUAAUCUUUUUCACACUUAGCAUAUUUCUUUGUACAUACAAUAACAUGCAAGAUCACCUCUAUUUAUAUGUGAGGUAUUCCUUGUAUUGAAUAGGAAGAAUAUGGUUUAGUAAAGUGAGUACAUGAAUGGUCUAUAGGUUACAAAUGUUACAAGAGUUACAUGCAACUAAUGGUCAUAUAAGUUACAAGAACUAAUAGUCAUGAGAGUUACAAGAACUAAUGAUAAUAUGAGUUACAAGAACUAAUGGUCAUCUUUACCACAAACUGUGCCCACUAACUCAAAAAGAUAAUGUGUUGAGUUACAAGAAUAAUGACACCACUUUCUCCACUUUAUGUUUACUAAUGUCAUGCACUUUAAUUUAUUUUAAUAAUAAAAUGCACCAACAUUUCACCACUCAUUUAAAUAUUCAAAUAAGAGAGUUCUUUACCAAUUUAGUUGAAGGGAGACUAUUAUGUAUAAUGAUGGUGUGCUCUGUGUUGAAUCUUCACUUAGUAAAACAGUAACAUUUACUCCAGAGUCAGUAGUGGUUUCAAACUUGAACUAUGACUGCUUGAGGAAAAUAAAGUAUCAUUGCCUACACACAACAAUCAAGGUGUUGACAUAAGCUUUAAUAGCCAGCACAUUACGGCCAUGCUAUCCGUCCUGGUAAAAGGAUUUUUUAAAUUUUUCAUGAGCAUUUUUUAGAAUAAGCCUCAUUUGCAUAGGAGCUACCUACUUCCACACUCACAUAAGUGAAAUCUGUCAAGGGUGGUUUGGUAUUUUCGACACACCACUCAUAAGAGAUACAAAAUUUCAUUAAGAGUUCUUAGACUCAACCUUCACAAAUCAUUACAGGAAUAAAAUGCACUCGCAUCAUAGGAAGGAUUAAAUAAUAGUGCAUCCCACACCAAGUCAUCAUAUGAUUCGUUCUUCCUAUUGAACCUAGUUAUAGGAUCUCUAGUCCUCAGGUUGGGUUUUCCCAUAUAAGACUCGUGAUUUUUUUAUAGAAACCAUUUUCUGGCUAAGGCCUGAGUUUUGAAUCUGCAAGAUUAUCACAAAAUUAACACAAUUAAUAGUGAUAUACCAUUGAUCAAUAUGAUCUCACAAUAUUGUGUUUUUCUCCUUAUGGUCUGAAUUUAUCAUUAUAAUAAUGAUUUACACUACCAAUAAAUUUUGGUGCUAUCACAAUAACUCAAAAUUAAAGAAAUCAACUUCUCAACAUAAAGUGAUUGAUCAAUUCACCUUUUCACUAGUUGAAGCUAAAAUAGUUAGUUCAACCUCCAUAAUGAGUUAGCAAAUCAUAAUUUAUUUCUUCAUUUCAGUAAAUAGCACCAAUUUAUAUUUUUUUUCUCAUUUUGCAUCAAAAACAUUUUUAAGUACAGCAGGAUUUAUUUUAAUAAAAUGAGCCACACUUUUUUCAAGUAAAUAUACCCAAUUAGCUUGUAAUAACUUGCUUAAGUACUUUUACACAAUUUCAGUCAAGUACAAAUAGUCACAUAUCUCAUAUUUUAUUAGGCUAGUAAACUCUUUUUUUCACAUCACUUUCACAUAUUUGAAUCAAAAGAAGUUGCAUGACUCAUAUAAUCAACUAAAUGUAUUUCGCAAUUUUUAUUUUUCACCAUAAUGUGACAUAUCAAGGAAAAUAUAAAGACAUCAAGUCAUAUACAAAUUAAUAAUGACAUGUGAUUUACUCCAAUAAUAAUUAUGCACUUAUAACACUUUUUUAACUCAUUCUCAAAGUGCAAAUGUCACAAUUUUGUGGUGAUUUUUCUCAUUUCAUUAGCCCCGACUAUUUUGGGCAUUUGAAAUACCAAUUUAUGUUUAUGAAAAGUAGUAUCAUUUAUUCAAAAUAAAAUAUUAGGUAAUUUUUUUUUUACCCUUUUCUCCGUAACAAGUAGAAAUUUUUUUUACCUUUAAUCCCCUUGAGUUUGAGCAAGUAUAAAGAUACUUUACUUGUUAUCUCUUCUCUUCCAUCUCUUGAAGAGACGUGAUGUUAAGAUGUUGAGAUCUCUCAUCUUGAUAUCCGCGAUUUUUCAAAUUGUAACAAAACAUGAAUCUCCUUAAAAUUGUUGGUGUAAUAUACCACAAUUACAAUAAAUGAUUACAGUUGAAAAUAAAAUGAACAAAAGUGAAGAAAAUAAAAUAAUCUUCUUCUUGGCUGAGGCGUGAAUAUCUCGCUCUCCUUAAGGAGAUUCAAGUCCACUGCGGCAUAAUCUACACCGAUCUAGUAGUAUAUCUCUUGACUUGUCCCCUCCAAGAUACGACAGCCCAUCAACGAUGUACAACUCAAAUAACUCCGGAUUAGUUGAAGAGUCCAAAACUCCACCAUAAGAACACCUUCCUGCAACAUAUAUUUACUCUCUUUGUAUAGUGAAUAUAGUUAAAGACUUAGAAUAUUUUCUUUGUCUCAACUCUUUCUUUCACUAAUAUAAUAACUCGCUUUUAUAUAAUGAAUAUAGUUAUAGACUAAGAAUAUUUUCUUCGUCUCAACUCUCUCUUUCACUACUACACACUAUAAUCUUUUUCACACUUAGCAUAUUUUCUUGUACAUACAAUAACAUGCAAGAUCACCUCUAUUUAUAGGUGAGGUAUUCAUCCUUGUAUUGAAUAAAAAGAAUAUGGUGUAGUAAAGUGAAUACAUGAAUGUUCUAUAGGUUACAAAUGUUACAAGAGUUGCAUGCAACUAAUGGUCAUACAAAUUACAAGAACUAAUGGUCAUCUUUACCACAAUUUGUACCAACUAACUCAAAAAGAUAAUGUGGUGAGUUACAAGAAGAAUGACACCACUUUCUUCAUUUUAUGUUUACUAAUGCCAUGCACUUUAAUUUAUUUCAAUAAUAAAAUGCACCAACAUCUAUUACUUUUAAACAUCAAUUAAUAUGGAUAAAUGGUAAAGUCACUAUACCAAUAAUUAUUUUCUUAAGGGACAACUACAUAACUUAGCAAACAUAGACUCCUAAUUACCCUAUUUAGCCUAAGUUUCAAUUAAUUAUAAUUUAUAACUCCCUCUUGCCUAUUAAUUAUCCCUAAUUACACUCUCAUGUAUUUUCUCUUUUUCUCUAUUUUCUAUUACUCCCCCCCCCCCUUUUUUUUUUCAUUUUUCAGUUUUUUUCUUCAUUUUUUCUUUUCGUUUUUUUUUUUCUCUUUUCUCUUUCUUUUUUAUUUUUUCACUUUUUUCUUUUUCAUUUUUCAGUUUUUUUCUUUUAUUUCCUUUUUAUUUUUUCUCCUUUUUUUUCUUUUUUUUAAUUUUUUCUCUAUUAUUUAUUACUCUCCUUCUUUUGUUAUAUUUUUUCUUCUUCUUUUUCACUCAUCUUUUUUUUCUUUUUUUUUCCUUUUUAUUUUUUCUCCUUCAUUUCAUUUGUGCGAACUAGCAAACACAAAUACAAGUACGACCUAUAAAAUAUAAAUAUAAAUGCAAACUAUAAAAUACAAAUACAAGUGCAACAAUAAAAUACAAAAAUAAAUGCGAACUAUAACAUACAGAUACAAGUGUGAACUAUCAUUUGUAUUUUUUAAUUAUUGAAAAAGAACGACUGAUUUUCUUUCUACGAAUAUUUAUUUUUAUUUAUUGACACGAGUUGUAUUUAUUGAUAUAAACAAACACAAUCCAAAUUUAUACACAAAUACAAUAUAUACAAAUACAUAUUGUAUGUGUAUUUGUAAAAUGUCACGACUCAAAUGGUCAUGAGUAGCAUCCACACUAAUCUUCCUGCGGGAGAAUCAUCUAAAUCAAACUAUCACCGAAUCACUUAGUCAAAAUUAAGAUGAUAUUAUCAUAAAAUCAACAUAAUUACAAUAACCCAGGACUAAUCAUUAUUAAUGCGAAAGUCAACAAACUACCUACUAAAAUCCACAAGAUCCGAAACUCAUCGUACAAGAACUACUAACAAAGAUCAUGUCUUAAGAGAUAUCCAAAAAUAAAGUAAAUAAAGAAUAUUUCAUUGCCUGAAAGAUGGACAAGAACAAAUAAGAUGACCCAUGGCAGCCUGGAGACGGAGCGCUAACCCUUGGAUCAAGACCUUCUAUCAAACUCUACAGGUGAGGUCGUGUCUUAGCCUCUGAAAUAUUUUCUGUACUCAGCAAAAGAAGAGUACAGGGUAGUAUCAAUACAAACCACUAUGUACUAAUAGUUAUCAUAGGCCAACUCAACUUAAUAGCAUGUACACAACAUAAAUCAAAUAACAAGUAGACAGACAUCGUCACAUAACCAAAAAUUCAAUAAAUAAACAAUACAACAAUAGCAGGUUAAAUAGUGCUCACAACCAAGCCACAUAACCAUCAAGAGUAUCAACCAUACUAUAAACAUCCACAGAAUCAACACAAUUUUGUACACAUAUGCUAUGGGACUUAUUUUUGCCCAAAUAGUCAUGACCUGCAGGGAACAAUCUAUGUUCAUGUACCGUACCGACGUGGUACCCGAUCCUCAAGAACAAGUAAUAUCAAUAUCAUAUCUGUACCAGCAUGGUACGCGAUCCUCCAUAAAUAAGUAACAUUAAUAUAUAUAUAUAUAUAUAAAUCCUUCAUAAUCAAGUAAUAUCAAUAUACAUAUCCGUACUGGCAUGGUACCCGAUCCUCCAUAAAUAAGUAAAAUCAAUAUAUAUAUCCGUACCGACGUGGUACCUGAUCCUCCAUAAACAAGUAAUAUCAAUAUACAUAUCUGUACCAGCGUGGUACCCGAUCCACCAUAAACAAUUAAUAUCAAUAUCAAAUUUACACUACUCACAGCAUGUAAUACGAUGUAAUAAGUUUACAAGUACAUUUAAAGUUAUAAGACCAUUCCAUCAAGUAAAUUUUGAAUAAUUAUUUAUACAAAUCUCAACAAUCCAAUUAUCAUCAAUUUCAAAUAUGUCUGAAUACCAAUCAAUAAUUAUUCAAUUUAGGAGCAUACACACAAUUAAAUCGAGUCUAAACUCCAAUUAAACUGUAACCUACCUCAAUCGAAGAAUCUGAAUGCAAGCUAAUUUGUAAGGGCCUUGCCUUUCUGUAAAGCUUUGAAUUGAUCAAAAUCUAUUCAAAUACAUAAUCUCCAUAAGAAUAAAAAUCUAAAGACACCCGUUUUAUAAAUUCCUUCUUUAAAUACUCUAGACCUAAAACAAAAAUACGAAAUAGUAGCUCUCAAGCUAUCCUAUACUUUAGAAGGAAAAUUCUAGUAGCCGUAAUGCUUUAAUUAGUACAUAGAAACUCAUUAUGAUCUAAUUAUUAGUGCCAGAUCACACUAUGCCAAGAAUUGGCCAUUUAACUUAUUAUAUUUUUAUUGUUCAAUGAUUAUGCCAUCACUAUCUUAGGAUUACUUUUCAAUUUAUAUCCACGCUAAUGGCAUAUUAAUUUUUACUUUCACCAUACACAUUUGUUUCUUUAAAUACCACUUCCAACUGUAAUAGUUACCUCAACAUUACAAAUAUAACUGGUCCACUAACCCACCAUAGUUUCACAAGCAUAGGAAUUAAAUUGAAACACCCAUAGUAGUACUGUUUAGCCUAACAUUCACCUCCACUUAAUAUACCAUAAUUACCUACUCAUUUUUUGUCAUCAUCACGCUAUAACUUAAAAGUAGCACUACUAACAUUAAGCAGUCAAUUACCUAAACAAUUGGCCACUGCUUAACUUCAAAUACACCCCCUAUAAUAUUUUAAUCAUAAAAUCAAGAAUACAUCAAUUUAAGGUGCUAACCUUCAAGCCGUCGACAAUCCCUUUGGAAACCACUAUGUGAACUUAGAAUAUAACUGCCUUUUGUGUGUCUCUCUCUUGUUUAAUAAUUUUAAGAUCUUAUUAUUAAUAAAUUUGGAAAACUCUUUCUAUUCAAAAUCUAUUCUUAUACAUAGGUCUCAAGAGUUAAGAAAAUAUUAAUUUGGCCCAUUACUAUAAAAUAAUGUCUAAAAGUUACAAAGUGGGUUAAAAAAGGACAAGUUUAUAAAAUAAUUUGCAGGGUCGUUACAUCACCCACCACUAAAACAAAUGUUUGUCCUCGAACAUAAAGAGAAAAUAUGUACCUGAACUAUCAAAGAGGUGUAUAUCUACUUCGCAUGGCGGACUCAACCUCCCAAGUGGCCUCCUCAAUAGGACGAUUCUCCUACUGAACCUUCACAGAUGCAAUCUCCUUAGUCCUCAACUUACGGCCGUCUCUAUUAAGAAUAGCAAAAGGUUCCUCUUCAUAAGAGAGAUUUUCAUCUAACAAGACUGAAUCUCAAUGAAUUAUGUAAUUACCAUUACUAUGAAACUUCUUUUACAUAGAUACAUGAAACACAAGGUGAACUGGCGACAAACUCAGAGGUAAUGUCAAUCUAUGGGCCACCGACCCCACAUACUGAAGAAUCUCAAGCGGUCUAUAUCUAGGACUGAGCUUACUUCGCUUCCUAAAAUGCAUGACUCCCUUCAUGGGUGAAACCUUGAGCAACACUUGCUCACCUUCCAUAAAGUGCAUAUCUAUAACUUUCCGAUCUUCAUACUCAUUUUGCCUACUUUGAGCCACUAUAAGUUUCUCAUGAAUGAAUCUAACCUUCUCCAAUGAGUCCCUCAAUAGAUUAGUACCCCAUGGUCUCACCUCAAAUGCAUCAAACCAGCCAAUGGGAAUCUACACCUCCUCCUAUACAAAGCCUCAAACGGCGUCAUAUCAAUACUCGAAUGAUAAUUGUUAUUAUAUUCAAACUUAGCCAAAGGUAUAAACUGAUCCCAAUGACCUCUAAAAUCUAUCAUAUACGCACGAAUCAUAUCCUCCAAUAUCUGAAUCGUUCUCUCGGACUGCCCAUCGGUCUGGGGUGAAAAGCUAUACUAAUACUACAAAAAAAAGUAGUAAAAAGAAACCUAAAAUAAGAGACCUCAAAAAUAGGUUGAAAAUAAGAGACCUCGUGAGGUUGCUUAUACCCUCAAUUUAUUUUUUUAAUUUGUUUCAAAAUAAAGAGACCUCAUGAAGUUGAUAAACGAUAAAAAAUUUCUGCCACAUAAUAAUAGAGACUUUAAGAGGUCGAAAAUAAAUUGCGGGAAAAGUUAGCAUCAAAAUAAUUAAAAUUACUUAAAAAUAAAUUAUAAAAUAUAAAAUGAAUUAAUAAAAUUUUAAACAUUGUAACCUCGUGAGGUCGCUAUUAUUUUAAUAAAUUAAUAUUUAUUACUAUUAAGAAUAAUUAUCUAUCAAUAUUAUAUGAAGCAUGAAAUGAAAAUAUUCAUUUUCUUUUUUAAUACUCUUUCUGUCUCAAAUUAUGUGUUGCCAUUUUCUUUUUGGUGCGUCCCAAAAAGAAUGUUGUCUUUCCUUAUUUGGUAAUUUUUUAAAGACACAAUUGCAAUUUUACCCUUAGUGGUCCCACUUGAUUCUAAAUACUAUUACUCUUUCUUUAAUUUGUUUUUUCAAUUAAAAGUGGUCCCACUUGAUUUUAAAUAAUAUUUCUCCUUUCUUUAAGAAGGGUAAUUUUAUAACUUUAACAAAGUCAAUACUUAUCUCUUAAAUAUUGUGUCCGGUCAAAUGGCGACACAUAAUUUGGGACGGAGGGAUUAGUAUUUAUUAUUAUGUUGAAAAGGGUAAAAAAAAAAACCAAGAGCAGCUCUCUCAAAACUCCCAUUCGGCCCUUUCUCUCGAUUAAAACUCUCCUUUCUCAAAAUCGGUCCCUCUCUCGACGCUCAACUCAAAGAUCUCUCGUACAAAUUCUAAAUCCGUCAUCUCUUUCAUUUCAAGUAAGGUUGCAAGUUCUAAUUUUUCCUAUUUAUGUAUAGAAUAGAAUGUGAAUAUAUGAAUUUUUGGGGUCUCCUUUAAUUUCUCCAAAAUGUGAAGAUUGUAAAUGGGUAGUUGAGAAUGUUGUUCUAUGCUUUUCGACUUUCUUGUUCUUGUUUUAGAACUGCGUUUAGAUUGUGAAUCUAUGAUUUUCGAUCGAAUAGUUGGGGUUUUUAUGUGAUUUUUUAAAUUGCUUUCCGAAUAGUUGGGGGUUUCAUGCGAUUUUCAGAAUUGUGAAUUUGAUUACAUUUCCGCAUAAAGCUACAAAAUGGCUAUUUAGGAGCAUUUUUUUUUAAUUUUCAAUUAAUUAUAUGUGAUGUUAUCUUUUGGAAGCACUUUUGAGUGUGCUAGUGAUCUGGUCUAUUUUUGUUAAAGUAGGAAAGAAAAUGAAUAUUAGGUUUAUACAAGCUUAAAUGAAUCAUGAUAAAUACGUCGAAGAUCUAAAAGAGAACCACAUCAAAACAACGUGUUUUUCAUUCAAAAACACCUAAUUAUGAGGUUGAGGUGUGCUAUCUAAUUACAGAGAAUAAUCAGCCUUAAACCGACAGAUGCAUAAGUUCAUAUAUGGCUUAUAAGAAGUUAUACAAUUAGGGAUCAUUUGGAUAGAAACAAGUUAUCACGGUAUAGUGGGAUUAGUUACCCCAUAUUCCUCGUGCCAAAAAACUCCUAAGUACGUGUAUUUUCCUUUAUGUAAUAUAACCACAAGCCAUCAGAUUAGUACAUUGAUCAAUCAACCAUUCCUCAAUCUCUACCUAGCUAGUUAGCAGUUUCUAUAUGAAUCCUUGGAACCUACUAAGCAACACUGGAGAUUAACAGUUAGAAUAUCUAUUCAGCUUGAUCCAGAUGUAGAACAAUACUUAUUCACACUAACUAGAAAAAUGCAGAAGUAUAUAUUUUUUAAUAAUAUCCAAGUUUCUUUAGAACCUAUUUUCAUGUUAUGUUAUAUUAUAUGUCCUCUAUAACAACAUAUCUCCAUAGCAUCCAACAAAUAUACAGACAAACUACAAUGUUAAAGAGAAGUUUAACGCUAUAACUUACCCAAAGAGCAACUUUCUUGAACUUGUUCAUAGCUCUAAAGUUUUUGAGCUUAUACGGAACAGCAUUGUCAAGUGGUUUAUCUGGUGCCUCUCCAUCCUCCUUGAUCCAUGGAUGAUCUAUCAUAUUAUAAUAUAUAUAUAUAUACACACUUAAUUAGUUAAAAUUUUGAAUAAUGCACAAAAUACUAUUUCAGUACUUCCAAGUGUGUCCGUAAUUGUUUAAAUAUAUGACAUACUUAAAAAUAUGACAAAUCUAUGGAUAGAAAAAAGUUUCUUUUUAAGGAGUUUUGAUAGUCUUGCAUAGUAAGACUAAAAUAAUCGAGCGUAUAUUGAAAAUAACUUUUUUAUCUCACAUAGGGUUAAGAAGGUCUGCAUCCACCCUACUUAUGAGACUAUAUUAGAUAUGUUGUUGUAGCCAAAAUACCAUCUAGUAAGUCACUCAAAAGACAACUUUUCAUAAAAAAAAUAAUAUGAAUACAAACAAUAAAGUCCUAUACAACAAAAGAGGAUUAAAUGAAUCUUUCUUUUCUUUUUUGCUUCUUCUCAUUAGGCAGAGAAUAAAGGAUCGAGAGAAAACAUUACACAAAACAUAGAUUUACUCUUAAUAGUACAAAGAUUUUAUUAUAUAAAAAAGACAACACUCGUCACACAGAAAUUCACAGCAGUAAGAACUGUCAGCCAAAUGAAAAUCAAUGUCCACCAAUGCCUUUAAACAUGUAGCUUUUUGUAUAAUUUUUGAUAUUGCAAAUGCCAUGACUUGAUCACAGGGAGAGAAAUCCUUUGGUAACUUUAAGAUAGCUUUCAUAAGUUGUCCAUUUCUUUCAUCCUUGAUUCGUGUCGAGGUUUAUUUCAUUAUUUAGAGGUGGGGUGGAAGUUUCAUCAUACAGUAUAAGAGAAUCAGUUGAAGGAGGCAGUUUCUUUUUCACCGAGUACUCUUCCUUCACACUUUUUAUCCCCAUGUCUUUGGAUCUUAAAUCUGCAUUUUUUUAAACUGGUAACUUUGUAUAUAUUGAUAGAAACAGAUCAAUAUUGAAACCAUGACCCGCUCUUUGUCUUACUUCUGAGCUAGAUGGUACACCCUACAAUUUGUAAUUCCACAGGCUAUAUGAAAUCCACCCUUGACUCGGCAUCCAAGCCCCCAAUCUAAGUUUGCCGUAAGGAUUGGAGUAUCUAUAAGGGGGACACGCAAGAUCACACAGUAGGGUGUCAAAAUUCCCAAUCAAAUCAAUAUGUCAUGGUAGUGCACAAGAUCACAAAGAAAGGUUCCUAACCAUAGUCCCAAUUUGGGAUGACAUGAAUCAAGGUACAUAAGAUCACAAAGCAUGGUACCAUAAUCUCGUGUUGGCAAAUCACGAUUUCUAGCAUAGAGUCCUUCAACUCGUACUUUCUUCGAAUAACCAUCUAACUCUCUUUAAGCUAAUUUUUAAACCUUUUUUAAACAUACAUGUUUCAGAAUUCAUAAUCUAAAAAUCUGAUUUCAAACAUAUGCUCUAUUCUGUUCUGAAUUACUAUGGUUUUUUAACUGAGUUGGUGUUGUCACACCAAGACUUGCAAGUCCUAUUUCUGAGUCAUAUUGUACCAUGCAUGAUUCUUUCAUUAAAAUAUAAUUCAGACCACCCAAGCAUGCAAAUAGUAUAGGAAAUUUCAUUUUCCAAGAGCACAAAUCAAAACCAUGCUAAGAUUCUUAUUCUUUCAAUAACCAUGUAGUGGUCAUGUAUUUUUGACAAACAUGCAAUUCUUUCAUUAAAAGUGUAUUCAACGUUUAUCAACAUGCACAACCCUCUCUUUUGGAUUCAAAAUCAUAUUCAAGUCAUAGCAAUAAUCAAGACAUUUCAAACACAAUUCAUAUCAUAUAAAAAAUAGGAAAAUCAUAACAAGAGAGGAAUUCUUUAGGAUUCAUGCUCUUAAUUGCAUAUUUAUCCUUAAACACAUGCAUACAUAUAUAUAGAGAGUUUCAAAUCAAUUUGGGGGAAGGCCUAAAGACCAAAACAAUAUUGAUCAAGGCUUCUAAAACAUGCUAGUAGUCAUAAAUUCAAAACCCCUUUCUUAAAAAUCAUGAUUUCUAAACCAUUAGCAUGAAUUAAAGAUGGUUUCUUUGCCCAUGAAAUUUUAGAAAAACCCCACGUACCUUAAUUUAUGACUCUUGAAUGAACUUGUACUUUAGGGAUGCUAUUCGAACAAUUGAUGGGUGCUUCUUGUAGCCCUCGUAUUGGGGAUUCCAAAUCUCAGAGAAUUAUUGAAAACCCACGGUGAAAUCUUAAGAUAUUUUGAUCUUUGGGUUGAAACCCUAAGAAGUGUUCUUGGUGAUUUUGAGAGAGAAUGACCUUAUUUUGGUGUUUGGGGGAUUUAAUCCCGUGUUAUGGCUGAAUAUGGGGUGAAAAAUAUCACUUUUACCCUUAAAAAUGCUAAAACAGGACCUGAAAAUUGGGUGCAUGCGACAGAGCAUGCGUCGCACGCUAAUCGCACAAUGUUACUAUCUCAGUCAUGAAAAUGGCCAUAACUUUUUGCUUGGGUAUCGUAUUUUGGAAAAAUUGGUAUAGAUGGAAAGAUAAUUUGAAGAUAUUUCAUUUGAUAUAUAGUAGACCCUCUAAUUCGUUAUAUACAAAGAGUUAUGAUCGAUUGAAGUUGACCCAAGUUUCAACACUCACUCAAACUCAAACGAUAGGAAAGCUUUCAACUUGUCCUUGAGUUAGGGGACCUCUAUGAUCUCAAUUCAUGCUCAAACAGGUUCUCAUACUACAUAAUUGAUUAGCAUGCCAAAUUUGCCUAGGAUUUAUAGCUUUUGGAUCAUCUACGCAUAGAAAUGAUGAUUUUCAUUCUAGCCCGAAAUGUGGGGUGUUACAAGACCCUCAUCUUAAGGAAAGAAAAAAAGCAAAGCAACAGAGUUUAGCCAUCACAGAAAUAAAUAUAAAUAAUGUGCAAAGACUCACGUUGAAGAAAAAGAUUACACGAAGAGAAUAAUGAAGAAAUAUUAUAUUCAUGGUUAACGCGAUCGAAAGAUGUCAUCAUGGAAGCUAGUUAUUAUGAAGUUUUGAGUGGAAAUAAAUAAGAGAACGAUACAUGUAUGGAAAAUAUCAUCAUAUGUACCUUGAUUAAUAGCUAAACAUCCAUGACUUAUGGCAUCAUCAUUCUGUCUUCUGAUAUCUUGAGUAAUAUCACUAUGUUCAGAAGCAAGCGUGAUCCCAGAUAUCUCAAAAUACAAAAUCUCAGAAGGUGAGUAGGCUUGAAAGCCUACCACUUCAUCCAUCCAGAUUCCAUCAUCUCUUUUUGUUGUACAACUCCAUAAAUUUAAUGCUUGCUUCUCUGUAUAGAGGUAAAUUAUAUUUCAAUAGAAAUUCUCAAUAGUGCAUCUAUCAUCUUAAUUAGUCCAGUAAACAGAGAGAUUUAUACGUUGCAGUAGAAUAAAUAUCUAACUGACUAGAAAUCUACCUUAUUGCUCCAGUUCUUGCGGUAAUAUGUUCUAAUAUGCCUUAAUGAACUACAAAGGACUAGGAAAUUAGGUUUCUUACUCUCUAGCUAGAUUCCACAAAUGACUGCAUUCAAUGGAGAGCACUACAUAUGGACUAAAUUAGCUCUGUUCCUGGGGAAUUUUACCCUAGUUUCUUACCUUAGGAUUUAGAUUGUAAGUUGUUUUAAGUUGAAUGAAUUUGAUUGAAUAGGAUUCUCGUCAGGUUGAAGUUUUUAUCUGUUUCGACUUUGAUGAAUUUGUUGUUCAGCUUCCUGUGAGUCUUGAGCUUUGGACAUUGUAAGUUUGUUGAGUAUCAAUAUUGAAUACUAAUUAGCAAAAGGCUAAAGAAAGUUUUUGCUUAUGAGAUGGAUAAAUUAACAGACAAUGUAGGGUUAAGCUUUACAUAACAGUACUAAUUGUCAAAGAAAAAAGGGUUAAACUCUUACAUAAAUAAUAUUUUACAAUCAAUUAAUUUGAUAAUCGUUCAUAUUGUUUUGCUGUAGCGGAAAAUUAAUUUACCUUCAUUUAUCAUGUCAUUACAGAGAAAGUGUUUUUAGUGUCCAGAACAUGAACAUCAACGUCAGAUUACUACAAACUUCAGGUUAAAAGCUGCGCGCAUACUUUUUGGGUUGUUUUCAAAAGCUCGUGCAAAUAACAAGAGGCCUAGAUGGAUUCUUCCUAAAAAUUGACAAAAGUUAAUUGACCAUUGGGCGACCGAUUUGAGGUUUAAUGAGCGAGAUUAUCAAGAAAGCUAGAGAUGUGGCUGUGGAGCCCAGUAGUGACGAAAAUGAUGAGGAUUAUUAUAUGGACAAUGCAUCGGCGCAUUGUUAAAGUUGAGUGUUGUGUGAGAUAAUCUAACUUAUGUACUUUAUGUUGGUUUAUUUGAAUUAUUAAGUGUUUUUAACGCAUGAAAACUUUGAAUUAGUCUAAUAAAUAGUAUUGUAUGAAUAACUUGACUUCUAUGUUUUUUCAUUCAAUUUCAAGGUACUUUAAAGUUGAUUUUAUUUUAGAGUUCACUGGAUGAUAUUUAGUAUUCAUGUUUGUUGUAGUUUGAUUGAUUGGUAGGAGCUCUUGAAGCUCAAGUUAGUUGAUUAGAUUGUAUAUAUUAUUAAAUUUAAUUAAACUAGUAGGUAGCUAGCUAUUCUUGUAGUCAUUUUUUUUUUGCAGAAAAGAGAUCUCAUGAGGUCAUUAUUUUGCAUUUUUAUUUUUCAGCAAAUGAACAAAAGCAACCUCAGGAGGUCUCUUUUUCACAAUUUCAUUUUUAGGCACUCAAACAAGAGAUUGCAAGAGGUCUCUUAUGUUUUAAAUAAACCAUUUAUGAUAAAAAGUAAAGAAAUAAUAGUGACCUGAUGAGGUGUCUUUUAAUUUUUUUUUAAAAAAAUAGAGACCUUAUGAGGUCUCCUUUAAUAAAAUAAUUAUUAUUAUAAAAAAUAAUUUAGAGACCUCAUGAGGUUUCUUUGUGAAAAAUUCAAAAAAUAACCUAGUGACCUCAUGAGGUUACUUUCAAGCGACCUCAUAAGGUCUCUUUGAAAAGGCAACCAAUGUUUUAGAGAUCAUCCAUUGAGGUUGCUUUUAAAGUCUCUUUUUCAUAAAAAGAGACCUUAUGAGGUCUCUUUUUUAGGUCUCUUUUUAGAGAUUUUUUUAGUAGUGAUAAGGUCCACCCUAGUACCCAACUCCUUAUACAACUUCUUCCAAAAGAUAGAGGUAAAUUGAGCACCCCUAUCCGAGAUAAUAGAAAUUGGUACCCCAUGCAACCGAACAAUCUCCUAAAGAUAAAUCUUGGCCAACUUUUCUACAUUAUAAGUCACCUGAACUGGAAUAAAAUGUGUAGACUUAGUCAACCUAUCGAUAAUAACCCAUAUAGAAUUAUACUUUUCCAAAGUCUUGGGAAGACCAAUAACAAAAUCCAUAGCUAUUCUCUCCCAUUUCUAUUUAGGAAUGGGCAUCAUUUGAAGAGUACUACCAGGCUUCUGAUGCUCGUACUUUAUAUGCAGGAAACUUUGACAUUUGUCAACAAAAUCAACUAUGUCACACUUCAUUUGACCCCACCAGUAAUGUUGCCUCAAAUCACAGUACAUCUUGGUUGCACCAUGAUAUAUAGAACACUUCAAACAAUGAGCCUCAGCUAGAAUAGUAGGAAUCGAAUUAUCAACACAGGGUACACAAACUCACCUGUUAAUCCGCAACUCACCUUCACCAUCAAGAAUUUCCUCUUUAGGCUCACCCUGCAAAACCUUAUCACGAAUCUUGCUCAACUUAGCAUCUUCAAUUUGCUUAGCCUUGAUUUGAUCAAGAAAUGCGGACCUUGCCUCAAUACUGGCUAAAAUUCCUCCUCUUUCAGUCACCGAAAUUCGAAUAAACUUGUUAGCUAGAGUCUAAAUUUCUCUAGCCAACAUAUACCUACGAGCAUUCAAAUAAGUCUAACUACCCAUACUUGCUACUUCUUGUUCAAUGCAUCAACGACCACAUUAGCCUUUCCCGGAUGGUAGAGAAUGGUGAUAUCAUAAUCUUUAAACAACUCCAUCCAUCUAUGCUGUCUAAAAUAUAAAUCCCGUUGUGUGAACACAUAUUGUAAACUGAGGUGAUCAGUGAACACUUCACAAUGAAACCCAUACAAGUAAUGCCUUCAUAUCUUAAGAGCAAAAACCACGGCAGCUAACUCCAAAUCAUGAGUGGGAUCAUUCUUCUCAUUAGGCUUCAAUUGGCUCGAAUCAUAAGCAAUAACAUUUCUUUCCUACAUCAACACAGCACCUAAACCAUAAUAUGAGGCAUCAAAAUAAAUAAUAAAAUCCUUACCCUCUACCGGCAAGGAAAGAAUAAGUCGGUAGUCAAUAAGGUCUUGAGCUUUUGAAAGAUCUCCUCACACUCAUCAGACCAAAUAAACGGUACAUCCUUCUGAGUCAACCACAUCAUAUGAGUAGCAAUAGAAGCAAACCCUUUCACAAACCUGAGAUAAUAACUGCUAAACCUACAAAACUACGAACCUCUGACAGUGAAGAAGGCUUAGCCCAAUUCUUAAUCUCUUCAAUCUUCUGCGGAUCUAUCAUUACCCCUUCCUUCUAAACCACAUGCCCCGAAAAGAUAUAGAAUCCAACUAGAACUCACACUUAGAAAACUUUGCAUAAAGAUUUUUAUCUUUUAACAAACCCAAAACAAUCCUUAAAUGAUUCUCAUGUUCCUCUUUACUCUUAGAAUAAACCAGAAUAUUAUCAAUAAAUACAAUUAUGAAAAAAUACAAGUAGGGUUUAAAUAUCCCAUUCAUCAAACUCAUAAAAGCAACUGGGGCAUUAGUCAUCCCAAAAGACAUCACAAGAAACUCAUAGUGCCCAUACAUGGUUCGAAAUGUAGUCUUAGGAAUAUCGCCAGACCGAAUCUUAAGUUGUUGAUACUCGGCCUCAAAUCAAUCUUAGAAAAUAUGAAUGCACCUUGCAACUGGUCAAAUAAAUCAUCGACACGUGGCAAUGGAUACUUAUUAUAGAUUGUAACUUUGUUCAACUGCAUGUAGUUUAUACUCAUACGAAGACUACCAUCCUUCUUUUUCACAAACAAGACAGAAGCACCCCAUGGAGAGGCACUCGGAUGGAUAAAACCAUUGCUCAACAAAUACUGCAACUGAGCCUUUAACUCUCUCAACUCAGUCGGAGCCAUCCUAUAGGGAGGACUAGAAAUAAGACGAGUACCUGGCCCUAGAUCAAUAUAGAAAUCAAUGUCACGGUCUGGUGGCAUGCCAAAAAAUCUGCAGGAGAAACCUUUUGGAACUCACACACCAUAAAAACUGACUCAACAAAUGGGACUUCUGCAAAAGUGUCCCAAAGAUGUACUAGGAAGGCCAAACAACCCCUAUCAUUUAACCUCUUUGCACGAAGAAAGAAAAUAAGUUUCAUUAGAGCAGGACUAUAAUCACCCUUUCACUCAAGUCUAUCCAUUCUUGGCACAGCCACAGUCGCUGUCUUAGCAUGACAAUCUAAUAUAGCAUGAUACGGAGACAACCGAAUCAUACCCAAAAUUAUGUCAAAAUCUACCAUGUCUAGAAUCACUAAAUCUAUCCAAGUUUGAUAUCCCAUAAACAUAACAGAGCAAGAACAAUAAACCCUAUCAACAAUAAUAAAAUCACCAAGAAGAGUAGACAAGUGAAUCAGAAAGUCAAGCAAAUCACACACCAUGUCCAAUCCCACAAUAAAAUUAGCAAAUACAUAUGAAAAAGUAGAGCCAGGAUCAAAUAAUACAGUGGUCAUCGGGUCACAGACAAGAAUAGUACCUAUAAUAAUAGCAUCUGAUGCCUCUAUCUUGGGCCUGCCUGGAAAGGCAUAGAUAUGGGCCCUACCACUAGUCUGAAUGUCACCUCUGCCAAGAUGAAAACCACCUCGAUGGGGAUAAUUACCACCCCUACCUAUCUAAUGACCACUACAAUUGCCCUAUGGACGACCUCUUCCAUUACCACCACCUCCUCUACCUGCUGAAACUAAAGCUCUAGGAGCCUACUGCUGGAUAGACUAACCAAACUGCCUCAUAUUAGGACAAAACCUCCUGAUGUGAUGAACUCCGCCACACUCAUAACAUAAAUAAUCCAAGGUAGGCCGCUGAGCUGAUGAAGAUGAAUCUAGGUAACCACCAAAGUUUAAAAUGGCUGGCUAGCUCCUGAAGGACCCCCAACAGAUACCUGCAUCGCUGUUAAAAUGGGGCGGGCAGGUAUCCAUGUGAACUCUAACCUCUAGAAUAAGAACCACUAAAAUUAUCUCCUCUGUGGGCCAUCUUUUUUGCUGCCUUGGCAUACCCCUUUUACCUUAAGCCCUCCACCUUCUUGACAAAAUCAACCAUCACCUGGAAAGAUCUACCUGAAGAUGUCAUCUGAAGAGUAGAAAUCUGCGGACCUGUAUGCAACCCCUUCACAAAAAGACGGAUCUUCUCCUCCUCAAUUUUCAGCAAGUGAGAUGCAUAUCGAGAUAAUAAAUGAAAUUUGGCCUCAUGGGACGCAACUAACAUGUUCUUCUUCUUAAGAUUAGCAAACUCAUCUUUUUUUCUAUCUCUCAAAGAAUAAGGCACGUACUUUUCUAGAAAAAUUGAGUAAAAUUAUGUCCAAGUCAAUAGAGGCAAACCUAUAUCCCUACGCUCAACAUAAGCCCUCCACCACAUCUUAGCAUCCCCCUGAAACUAAAAAGUAACCAGUUCAAUAACAUACCUAUCAACUAUACCCAUCUUUUGAAGCCUCUCAUGAUAGUCAAUAAUAAAAUCGUAGGCAUCCUCAAACUCAGUUCUAUGAAAAACAGAAGGCUUCAUCUUGAUAAAAUUACAAAACAACUCAUGCUCAUCUCUGGUCAUCACCGGACCCACUACUUGUCUUGGAAAAUAUCUAAUCCUGACACUUCUUCCAUUCGAGGAGCUAUAAUAGCAGUGUGCUGCAUCUCAUGCUGGACUAUGAGUGUUGCGGGCAUAGUCCCUGAUACUGCCAAACCACUUAAAAAACUCAGAACCUGUUGAAUCACAGCGAAAGACAUCUGAAUCGGAGCUGCACCUCCCUGAACUGGUGUGACCCCAUCAUGAACCGACACUCAUUUAUUCUGUACUGGUAUAGAUCCGUCCUCUGCUACCUCAAGCAAAUCCUUAUGUGAGGGAGGAGAUAUUGGCCUCUCCCUAGCAGGUCUCACAGCCUAAGCUCUGCCCCUGGAGAGGGUUGAUUUUCUUUCUCCACCUCAUCCCCCUCUUGCCUGGACUCUACCCCGAACUACAGCCUCAGCAGCCGAUUCAGGCACCUCAACUCUUGCCCCAUUCUUUUAAGUUUUUACCAUCUGUGAUAAAAGAGUGAAAGAAGUCAAAUACCAAUUGGAAUCGUCAGAUACUAAUCAAAAUCAAGUAAUAGCACAUAAGAAAGAAGAAUUUAAAUUUUCCUAGUGUCCUAUAGCCUCUUAAAGAAAAGUAUAGACGUCUCCGUACUAUUCCGCAAGACUCUACUAGACAUGUUCUUGUAUGACGAGAUCGACGAAACUUGGCUCUGAUACCAACUUUGUCACGACCCAAAAGGCCAUGAGUGGCACCCACAAUAAUUUUCCUAUGGGAGAACCAUCUAAAUCAAAUUAUUACCCAAUCACUUAGUCAAUAUUAAGAUGAUAUUAUCAUAAAAUUAACAUAAUAACAAUAAUCCAGGACUAAUCAUUAUUAAUGCAAAAGUCAACAAACUACCUACUAAAAUCCACAAAACCCGAAGUCACCGUACAAGAACUACUAACAAAGGUCAUGUCUAAAGAGAUAUCUAAAAAUAAAGUAAAUAAAAAAUGUUUCAUUGCCCAAAAGAUGGACAAGAACAAAUAAGAUAACCCAUGGCAGCCUGGAGACGGAGCGCUCACCCUUGGAUCAAGAUCACCUAUCAAACUCUAUAGGUGAGGUCGUGUCUUAGCCUCUGAAACACUUUCUGUACUUAGCAAAAGAAGAGUACAGGGUAGUAUCAGUACAAACCACUAUGUACUUGUAUGUAUCUUAGUCUAACUCAACUUAAUAGCAUGCACACAACAUAAAUCAAAUAACAAGUGGAUAGACACCAUCACAUAACCAAAAAUUCAAUGAAUCAACAAUGCAACAAUAACAGGUCAAACAGUGCUCACAACCAAGCCACAUAACCAUCAAGAGUAUCAAUCAUACUAUAAACAUCCACAGAAUCAACACAAUUAUGUACACAUAUGCUAUGAGACUUAGUUUUGCCCAAAUAGUCAUGACCUGUAGGGAACAAUCUAUGUUCAUGUACCGUACCGGCUUGGUAUCCGAUCCUUAAUAACAAGUAAUAUCAAUAUCAUAUCCAUACGGUGUGGUACUCGAUCCUUCAUAAAUAAGUAAUAUCAAUAUACAUAUCCAAAUCGGUGUGGUACCCGAUCCUCCAUAAUCAAGUAAUAUCAAUAUACAUAUCCGUACCGGCAUGGUACCCGUUCCUCCAUAAAUAAGUAAAAUCAGUAUAUAUAUCUGUACCGACGUGGUACCCGAUCCUCCAUAAAUAAGUAAUAUUAAUAUACAUAUCUAUUCCGGUGUGGUGCCCGAUCCACCAUAAACAAGUAAUAUUAAUAUCAAAUUUACACUACUCACAGCAUACAAUAUAAUGUACCAAAUUAACAAGUACAUUUAAAGUUAUAAGAUCAUUCCAUCAGGUAAAUUUUUAAUAAUUAUUUAUACAAAUCUCAAUAAUCCAAUUAUCGUCAAUUUCAAGCACGUCUGAAUACCAAUCAACAAGCAUACACACAAUUAAAUCGAGUCUAAACUUCAAUUAAACCAUAACCUACCUCAAUCAAAGAAUCUAAAUGGAAGUUAAUUUGUAAGGACCUUGCCCUUCUAUAAAGUUUCGAAUUGAUCUAAAUCUAUUCAAAUACAUAAUCUCCAUAAGAAUAAGAAUCUAAUGACACCCGUUUUAUAAAUUCCUGCUCUAAAUACUCUAGACCUUAAACCAAAUACGAAAAAGUAGCUCCCAAACUAUCCUAUACUUAAGAAGGAAAAAUCUAGUAACCGUAAUACUUUAAUUAGUACAUAGAAACUCAUUAUGAUCUAAUUAUUUGCGUCAGAUCACACUAUGCCAAGAAUUGGCCAUUUAACUUAUUAUAUUUUAUUGUUCAAUGAUUAUUCCAUCAUUAGUUGAGGAUUACUUUUCAAUUUAUAUGCACACUAAUGGCAUAUUAAUUUCUACUUCCACCAUACACAUUUGUUUCUUUAAAUACCACUCCCAACUGUAAUAGUUACCUCAACAUUACGAAUAUCACUGGUCCACUAACCCACCACAGCUUCACAAGCAUAGGAUUAAAUUAAAACUCCACUAACCCACCAAAGUUUCACAAGCAUAGGAAUUAAAUUGAAACUUCCAUAGUAGUACUGUUUAGCCUAACGUUCACCUCCACUUACUAUUCCAUAAUUACCUAAUCAUCUUUUGUCAUCAUUACCAUAUAAUGGUCACGUUAUUACUUGAAAGUAGCACUACUAGCAUUAAGAGGUCAAUUACCUGAACAAUUGGCCACCGCCUAACUUCAAAUACACCCCCUAUAAUAUUAUAACCAUGAAAUCAAGUAUACAUCAAUUCAAAGGUGCUAACCUUCAAGCCAUUGACAAUCCCUUUGGAAACCGCUAUGUGAACUUGAAAUAUAACUGCCUUUUGUGUGCCUCUUCCUUAUUUAACAAUUUUAAGAUCUUAUAAUUAAUAAAUAUGGCAAACCCUUCCCAUUUAAAAUCUAUUUUUGUACAUAGGUCUCAAGAGUUAAGAAAAUAUUAAUUUGGCCCAUUACUAUAAAAUAAUGUCUAAAAGUUACAAAGUGGGUUAAAAGAGGACAAGUUUAUAAAAUAAUUUGCAGGGUCGUUACAUAAAAUCAUUUGUUUAUUUGUUUGUAAUUGUAUUUGUAUCAAGUGAUAUUUGUUUAUUUACAAAUACGAAUGAUAAUUUUGACAUACAAAUACAAAACGGUACAUUUGUAUCAAAUGAUACAUUACAUAUUUAUAUAUUUUAGAAUCAAGAAAAUAUAAUUAAUGCAAUUACUUGUUUGUAUACAAAUACAAAUGAUAAAUUGUACAUAAUCAUGGCUAAAUACAAUAUGCAAUCAACUUACAAAUACAAAUACGAAAUAAUUCUUUAAAAAUAAUUUGGCAUCAACGAAAAUAGAAUACAAAUGCAAAUAUAAUCUAAAUAUACAAACAAAAUAAAAUCACAAUACAAAUAUAAUCUAAAAUAAUAUGCAGUCCAUUAUAAAAUACAAAUUCAAAAUAAUUCUUUAAAAUACAAGUGCAAAUUAUAUAAAAUAUAAAUGAUGGUGCGAACUAACAAAUACAAAUACAAGUAUGAACUAUAAAAUACAAAUAUAAAUGUGAACUACAAAAUACAAUACAAGCGCGAACUUUAUACAAACACAGUUGUAUCAAUGAAUACAAAAAUAUAAAUGACAGCGUGACUACAAAUACGAUAAAUAAUUGUAGUAUUUACGUUAUCAUUCAUGACUUGUGCUCGAGUAGUCAUAUUUUUCAAAAAUAGAAAAUAGAAAAUAAAAAAAUAAUGAUAAAAAAAUAAGUACAAAAAAAAAACAAAAAAAUGAAGAAGAAAAGAAAAUAAGAAAGAGAAAUAGAAGUUAGAGAUAGAAGAGAGAAAAAAAAAUAAAAACAAAAAAAACAAAAAAAAAAUAGAAAAAAGAAGAAGAAAAAUCGAGGAAAACACGAAAAAAUAUAUACAAAAAUGAAAAAGAAAAAAAUGGUAGUUUUUUUAGCAAGACUAAAUAUGUAGUGUAUUUAUGUUUUUUAUGAAUACAGAUCACUGAGUAAAAGUGAAUACAACGCUAAAUAGGUAGUACUGUAUUUAUAUUUUACUAGCAUAAUGUACGUGCUUUGCACGUGUGUCUCGUUCGAUCAAUGAAAAUAUAUUCAUAAGAACACAUUAUUAAAAAAUAGCAAUUCACGUUAAAAUACAUGUUAUGUCUAUUUAAAUUAUAUAAAUAAAUAUUGUAUCAAAUGUUGUAUUGUUUGUUGUAUCUCAACUGAUCUUUUUCGCAACUAAAAAGAAUAAAGUUAAUUUUGAAACUCGAAAUUUCAAUUAUGCCACAUAAAUUAAGACAAAGAAAAUCAUUUGAAAAAUUGCAAUCACUAUACAUAGCUUCAAUUUAUAGAAGUGCUCAUUUAGAAAAAGUAAAAUUAGCUUCAAUUUAUAGAAGUGCUCAUUUAGAAAAAGUAAAAUUCAAUUAUGGUGGUUUUUUUUCUUAGUUGCUCACGUUGAAAUUUUCAUAUUUUUUCAAGGUAGUUAUUUUUUAAAAUCUUUCUCAUAUAUUUAAGUUAGACAGGUUAAAAAUUAAGUCAUGAUAAAAGAAAACAUCUUAUAUAAAAUAUAAUCAUAUUUUAAAUUUAAACACCCUUACUCUUUUUUACAAUAAAUAUAAUUAAUAAUACUGAUUUGAGAAACUAAAAAUUAAACAUCUUAUAUAAAAUAUAAUCAUAUUUUAAAUUUAAACACCUUUACUCUUUUUUAUAAUAAAUAUAGCUAAUAAUACUAAUUCGAGGAACUAGAAAUAGACUCCUACUCAAAAAGAAAAAUUUUAACAAAAAAAAAGCUACAACACAAAAUAACUUUAGUGUUUUAACUUGUAUUAAGUAGAAAAAAUAACAGAUAGCAACAGAAUAUAAGCUACAACAAAACAAUACGAUAAUCAGUGUAUUAGAAUAAUAUGAUUAAACUUAACUUUUGCAUAAAAAUUUCUUAAAGCCCAACCAAAGAGUCAUCUACCACAGAAAAAAUAACAGAUAGCAAUAAUACAGAAAUUAAACAAACAAUACGAUAAUCGAGAUCAGAGCGAUACGAUUAAACAUCCUUCACACAAAAAAUUCUUAAGUCCGAUUAAACAUUCAUCUACCAUUUGUAUUAAGCAGGAAAAAUAGCAUAUACUAACAGAACAAAAACUAGAACAAAAUAAUACGAUAAGUAAUAUAUAUGAAUAAAAUGAUUAAAUCUAUCUUUACACGUAAAUUUCUCAAAAUCGAAUCGAACAUUCAUCUAUACAAUUAAAAUUAACAAAUCAUGACAAAACUAUUGAUGAAGAAGACUACGAAACAAAAUUAAGGUAACUAAAAGACAUGGAAUUACUUAAAUUGAAAAAUUCUAUAGUAGUCUUCCAAACCGAUUUUAAUGACUUCCUCUUAUUGAAACAUUACUUAUUUCAAAGAUAUAAAAUCAGUAAAAUAACACACAGUUUAUCCUUAUAUCUAAAAAAAACUCAAAUCUAUUUGUAUAAUAUCACCCUCACUNNNNNNNNNNNNNNNNNNNNNNNNNNNNNNCCCCCCCCCAAACUCCAUUAGGAAGAAAGACUAAAGAAAGGAAAUCUCCAAUAUGACCCUACAAGAAAAACUAAAGAGAGGAAAUCUCCAAUAUGACCCUAAAAUUAAACCUGGCCUCAGGUUAGCUGGACGCCCUCGUUGUCUUUCUCGUCUGAACUUCAAUUCUGUAUGCAACAUAUUCUCUCUCUAUAUAUUUUUUUUGUAAGUAAUUGUAUAUGUGUAUAUAUAUGAAAAUUUGAAACAUAUUGGGGCAUAAGGUUGUUAACAAAUCAAAAAAAUAAUGAAAUUAAUUACGACAAACUAACGCAUAACAAUGAAAUAUAAGAUAGAGUUGCAUGUUUGACGUUAAUCUGCAUAUUCAAAUUUAAUAAUUAACCAUAAAUUUAUAUUUUAAAUUUAAAAAUUAAGGUUAAUUAAAGAUUCAACUAUAAUACUAAUAAAUAAUAUACCAAAACAUAAUUAAAUAACAUAAUCAAAACUAAGUCAUAAUUAAACAAAGAAGAAAAAAUAGAUAAACCUUUGGGUUUUUUUGGCUAUUUUAUUCAGUGACAAAAUGUUUGGUUCUCCAAUUUUUCAUCAAAAUUUUCACCUGAAAGAGAUACAUAGAAAUUAUCAAGAUGGGAGAAUUCAUUGUAAUCAAUUGUUAAUUAUGUGUAUUUCAUAUAUAAUCUUUAAGACCACUAAUAAAAAGAAAAUAAGAAAGAUAAAAGUAGAAGAAGAAGCGUGUUUCUUGUUAAUUUUAUGCACAAUAUUACUUAAAUAAAAUUAUAGAAAUUAUUUUUUAUGUAAUGUAAAAUUCUAAUUAAUUUAGAAGUGUUAAAUAUUAUGAUUUAAAUCAAUUGAAUUUAAAAGUGCUAAAUAUUUUGUGUAUAGUUUAAUUAGAAAAGGAUUCAAUAAGUAAAAUCUUUUUGGUAUAAAAUAUUAACUACAUUCAUGUGAAUUCUUUAAACAAAAACGUAUUUUACAUGUGUUGAGCUUCUAAUUGUAGCUCUUAUCAUAUAUUUUAGGAUUCAUUAAUAAUUCUUUUAAUGCCUCUUACCGUAUAAUUUAGGACUUCUUAAUUUAAAUAUUAUAUAAAGAUAAUAAUUAAUUAAUAAUUUGGGAAAAAAUGUGAAAAGAUGAUUUUGUCUAAAUCGAAGACUUCUAAUAAAGAGCAAAAAGUUGGAAUCACAUUUUUAAGGAUCUUCACACUUUUAGUAUAUUAUAGAUUAUAGAUAUAAAUUAUCGAUAUAGACAGAUUAUAGAUUAUAGAUUAUAGAUAUAGAUAUGAAUACAGACUAUUGAUAAAAUCGAAUACAGCGAAUGUAAAUUGAAUACAACGACUACAAAUAGUAAUUAUGUAAAAUAUGGAUAUAGAAUGUGAAUUUUACAGCAAAGUAUAGCUAUUUCUGAAAAAUCCUCUUUUCUUAAUAAUUUGGUCAAAUUAAAAUAUAACAAGUAAAUCCGAACGAAAGAAGUAUAAUCUAGAUAGUGGAGCAUGAGUUCACGCGAACCUGAGGAAACCCCCGACAUACGCCCCUGGUUUCCGUACCAUCGUAUAAAUUUAACCUUCUUAAGACAAGUUUUGCAAGAAUAGAUUAAUUGUCAGAUUUACGUAUCUAGCAAAAGACUAAUGAAUCACUAGGAUUUCAAAUUUACUAGCAAAAAUUGUCUUGCCAAAAUAAUCACCGAAACUUCUAGUCAAAUUAUGAUGCAUCUCCAGAAUUUUAGCCACAAAUUCAAGUAAAUUUCAAUUGAUGGCAAAAUUUGCCUUGUCACAAUUAACCUGAUGGAUCAACAGGAAUUUCUGGUUAAAUCGUUAGAAUUAUGAUCAUAAAAUCCUAACAAAUUGCCAAAUUUGUCUAUUAAAUGUUUACUAGUCAUCACAACUUGUAUAAAAAUUUAACCGACACAUUUUUUCUUCAAAAUAAACUCCAAAUUUGAUGUACAAUAACCUUCUAGUACCAAUCCCAACCAUUCAAGGUCAGAUUCAAUGUUAACUUCAAAAAAAUCAAUAGACCAACUUUUCCUUCAUCCACAAAUUCUUUUCGAUGUCAAUAGAUCCAGCAGUGUCGUUCUUUAAUUUGUUCAACCAAGCCAACCCAAAUCAUUAAAGGUAGACAAUAUAAUAUAAGCUCAAUUGAACAUUACUUGCUCAAUUCCGACAACAAAUAACAAUGAUUCUUCAAUUUUCUACGACACAUUAAAAAGGGGGAGGAGGAUUGAAAGGAAUUAUAACGGAAGUCUAAAAUUGCUAAUGAGACCAAAUACCCUAAAUCAACCAAUGUGGGACUCAUCAAAAUACACUAAGAAUGCUAACAAUUUUGGUUAUAAUUCUACGUUACUACCAAAAGAUAAACUAAAAUAAUGAUUUACGAUAAUGUUAAUCGAGCCCAUGAUUUACCAACAUGGAUUGUGGUGCAGUGGAUGAGACUGCUCCACUCUUAAUCAAAGGUUGAGAGUUCGACCCGGGGUAUGGAGAAAACUCCAUUGGGAGCGCUGUCACCUUAAUGGGUCUUACAAUGCACGAUCUGAAUUAGUCGGGGCUACAAUGCGGGCACCGGACACCGGAUGGGAAACCCAAAAAAAAAAAUCUAGUCGAGUCAUCGAAAAUUGGAUGAAAAAUGCUAACACCUAAUAGCAAUCAAGAAUGCAACCUUAGAUAAGUGGACCAUAAGUAGUUAAUUGAUCACAUCACCACUUAAUUUCUUGGUUUGAGAACAAUCUCCUUGUUAGCUAGAGCCAAUAAUGUCAUUGUCCAUUCUAAUGGUGAAAUUGAUUUCUCUACCAAUUGCAUAGAUUACGCAACUUCAUGGAGUCAAUCAAAUUGUUUGGUUGAUGAGCAUAAUAUAUGGGACUAUAAUUAUACUUUCACUUUCAAGCAAUCUUUAUUUACUUGAUUUUAUUGAUUAGACUAGUUAACAAAUAUUAUAUUAAAAGUAUUUGUAUAUAAUCUAAAUAAAUACUAUGCAAGGUGGGAUCGUUAGAGGUCAUAAGAGGUGGUGGGAAUUGGGUGUAGGGGUGAAGGAGGUGUGUGUAGGGGGUGGGAGAAUACAAAAUCAAUAUGAAUAUAGGAUGUCAUUUGUGAAACUUGUUUGUUGUACUGCCACUAAAUACUCUCACGUCUACAUCAUAACAUCAAGACGGAUAUUUUUUUCAUUUUUAAGGCACUUAUUUUUUAAAAAAAAUAUUUUUCAAAAUUUUACCAACCCAAUAUAAGAAAACUAACCAACCAAACAUGAAAAAAUUAAAAGAAAUCUUUUUCCCUCGUACUAAACCCACCCUUAUAUUUCUGGAAAACAUCUUUAUUCAGUUUUGUUCCUCAUCUAUUUUGCUUAUUAAUUUAUUAUUUUGGUCUCUUUUUGGCGAAAUGAUGAUAUAUAAUUUCUAAAAGCUAUAGAAUUUCGUUUCAGCAAUCACUUUCAUUCAUAAUUGCAAUGAUAAAAAUUAAUGGAAAAAAACCUCCAUAGCAUUUUUUAAAACAAAUAGCCUAAGUUUAGAAACUUUUCAAAAAGUGAUCUGCCGGAUAUACUAUUUUCAUUUUAUAGUCAUUUCCUAAUUUGGGUCAUUUUGGCUUACGUAGUCCAUAUAUAAUAUUGAUACAGUUUAUAUACAAUACUAAUACAAUAUUCAAUUUGGGCAAUUCGGCCUUUUAAAAAUAUUUCAAUUUUUUUUGUUAUAAUUUUUUUAACUGAUCAAAUAUUCUAUUUUUUUUAUUGUUUAGAAAUUUCUUUUUAAUUUCUACAAAUUAACAAACUUAUUAUUUCAAUUAUACAAACUCUUAAUUUCUCCUAACAACAUUUAGUUCAAACUUGAACAUUCUUGUAAAUUAAAACACAUUAUGUAGGAUUUUUGGUUGCAACUAAGAUUUGAUUUUUUUUCAUGUUAGUUACUACUAUUUCUAUUUUGUGAGUAUUUUCUUAUUGGUUAAACCGAAAACCGAACCGUUAAGGACUAAAAACCGGUAAAUCGAAAACCGAUAAAAAAUAUCUUAUUGGUUUGAUUAUUGAUUUCGCAUAUUUAAAAAUCGAAAACCGAUAAACCGAACCGAUAAUAUAUAAAACCAAAUCGAACCGAUCGAUUCACACCCCUAUCCUUAUCUUUUUCCGAUCAUACAUAUACCAUAUAUGAUAGAAUUUGAUUAUGAGAAAAAUUUGAUAAGGUUGAGAUUUCGUGUAAAAGUGAUUGUUCAUUUGAUGCGACCUCUUGUUGUGCUCAUAGUCUCAUACUGUGGAUCGGAUAGCUAAUUUUCAGCCCCAUUUAUAUAUUCAAGUAGUUGAUUAGUUUUCUAGUAAGCAAAGACGAAUUUGAAACUUAAAUUCUAUGGAUUCAAUCGUUAAAACUUUUAAUGUUAAAUUCAUUUUAUGCUUAAAUUUAUCAAUUUAUAUCUAUUCUAAUUUUAAUAAUUUUUAUACAUAGGCUACUUAGUAGAUAAACUCGAUAUCACUAUACUGCAUCUGCCUCUGCUUGUAAGCUCUAUGAGACACGAGUAAUAGAACUGAUUUUCAAGCUAAUAGUUUUUUUAGACAUUCAGUAUUCAAAGUGCAUGCACUAAUUCAACUAAUUCAUAUUGUAUCAAUAAACUUAGAGGGUAAAAUUCCCUCCUAUUUUUAUAUUAAAAUUUAAAUAUGAGACUUCUAAUUAAAAAAAAGAGGGGGAGGGGGUUAUAAUUAAGUUUGUAUAUAUGUUUGCUUUUCACAUAAAGAAGUAAAUAAACGUACAUAAAGUCCUACUAGUUUACCUCUAAUUGCAUUUUAUUUCAAUUUUUAUUAAAAUUUCAUUUUUAAAUUAUUUUGAUACAUUCAAUUUCAAGAGAUACAUCUCUGGUGAUACAUCCAUUAAAGCAACUAAUGUGGCUAAUUAAGAAAAAUAACAAAAAUUAACUUAUUCAUAGCUUCAAAUUAAGAGGCAAAAAUCUCUAAAAAAUCAUAAUUAGUUAUUAUGUAUAUUUUAAGAAUAUCUUUUUCCCCAUUCAACUUACAGAGUCAUCUUCUCCUUUAUUCUCUGUUUUAUUUUGCGUUCUUUCUUUUUUAAUGAUUCUCAAUGAAUAUAUUGGUACAAAAUUUUGGUGGUUGGGUACUGAUGUCAAGUAUGAAGAUAUAAGAUUGAGGCAUUAUAAUCGAAGAACGUGUAAUGAUAUGAGGGUGAAGCUAUAUUAUUAAAGCCUAAUAUAUUGUUGAAAGAAAUUCAUCUUCAUUGUUGAUCCAUAAUGUUAAUUUCAAAUAUCAUGGAUUGGACCUGCCGAUCUCUUUAUUUUUCUUUAUUUGAUAGUAAAGGUUUUCUUUAUAUUAACAUAAAUAUGAAAUAUAUGAGAGACAAUAGUUGACGUAGUAGGGUAUAUGAGAGUGUUUGCAGUAGUACUACUGACAUUAGGAAUACAAAAACUGCUACUUGAGAAAGUAACUAGUAUCGUAGAAAAAAAAGUAAUUAACAUCUAAACUAGAUAGAGAUGAUCGAUUAUAAAAAUUAGAGUUAUGGUGAAUGAAUACAUCUUUAGUUAUUUAUCUCUCUGUCUUUGGUGAUGUCUCCUUCGUUGAUUCAAUUUCAAAGUUAAAAAUCCAACAAAUAAAGGUAUGUAUCUAUUGUUGUUAGAUUUCAGCAAAAAUAGCAAAUAUUUUCAGUUUGAGGUAGAGAUGAUGUAGUCAUUAGUUCAUAAAUUAUGUAUCUCACGGGUUGCACAUUCUUGAAGUAGAGGAACAAAAUUUAUAAUUGUCGAGAUACAUUUAUUUAUGUACAGAUUUAGUCUAUAUACAUAUUACUUUGGCAAAAGUAUACUGAGAUAUGUAAUUUAGUUUAUGUGUCGGGCAAAAUUUAUGAACAUAUUUAAUUGAGAUACAUAAUAGAUUGACUAGCGUAGAGUGAGAUACAUAAUUUUAUUUAUGUAUAGGGUAUAAUUUAUGGGAUACUUUAAGUGUUAAAAUGAAUAGUAUAAAUUAAUGUUGCAUCUCAUAAAUAAUCAUCAUGUGUUUAUUAAUUAGUGAUACAUUUGAUAACAAAUAUGUUGAUUUCAAUAUGAUUGUCUAUGUUUUGCACCUACAUCCGAUUUUUUUUUUUUUGAGGACUAUGCUUGGAUUCUUAGGGCAUCAUGUCGAAAGGUUCGAAACUCUUCAAAGUAAGGGUUUUCAUGAUAUAUACACCUUCCCUUGAGAAUAAUAUUCACCCAAGUUCAAGCUACGAUUUCGUUCUUUAGCAGUUUUAUGGCUCCAAAACUAGUCAAUCAUAAGAGAAUACGCAUACCAAUUGAUAUAAUUGAAGAUAUCAAAUUUGCUUUUAGUGUGGACAUAAUUGAAGAUAUCAUAUUACAUGUUUGUUACAUAUUUGUUUUGCAACACAUUUGUAUUUAAAUUGUAUAUAUACAUAACUACGAUAAUUCUGUAAUGAUGUUAUUAUGUAAAAUGUUCUAGCCUCCAUAUUUAUGUAUCUGAUACAUAUUUAUACUUGUAUGAUGAAUCUUUGUUGAACAAUUUUUUUUGAAUAUAAUGAAGUUUAGAUUAUCUUUUUUGUAUUAUUAGAUAUAUAUUUUUUCAGCAUUAAAAUCCAUGUAUAACAAUGUAACUUAAUCAACUUUUAUCAAGAGAUAUUAAUGAAAGAUACAUAUAUCUAUAACAAGAGAUACAUUUUUUAAAGUCUAUAAGAAAUACAUACUACAUUAUAACAAUUUUAUAUGUAUCUCUUACUAUACUAAUAUGCAUGCCUCUUAUGCAUGCAACGCUAAAGUUAUCUAACGAGAGAUACAUAAAGUAGAUGUGUAAUGUACACAAAGAUAUACAAUGAUAAAACGCAUCUGAUGUAUUGAUAGAUGUAUUUGACAUCUUUAAACUUGAAAUUUAAUAAUUUUAUAACAAGAUAUAUAUUUUUUAAAGUCUGUAAGAGAUACAUACUAGGUUAUAACAAUCUUAUAUGUAUCCCUUACUGAACUAAUAUGCAUGACUCUCAUACAUGUUACACUGAAAUUACCUAACGAGAAAUAUAUAAAGUAGAUGUGUAAUGUACACAAAGAUACAAGAUGACAAAACGUACCUGAUGUAUUGAAAUAUGUAUUUGAAAUAUGUGUAUAUUUGCAAUCAACUUGUAUCUUAAUAAGAAUACUCACACACGUAUAUAUACAAUCUCUCUGUCUAACUAUGUCGCACAUAUUUGCUACAAAACCUCAAACUAUCACUAUAUCAUAUAAUUUUCUUAACAUUACCACUGUAAAAGUUGUUUUUAUUAUAUAGAAAGAUGAGCAGAGGAACAAACAAGGACAACAUUGUAAUUUUGAUCAACAUUAAUGACAUUUACCAAUUAGCUAUUCUAUAGUGCAACAAUCAAGGACAAUAUUGUAAUUUUGAUCAACAUUAAUGACAUUUACUAAUUAGCUAUCCUAUAGUGCACAGUUGAAGAAGGUUUUAGAUUGUAGACAACCAUAUGUCAUUGCUCUUCAUUUUAUUCUAUACCUUUUGGAGCGAAUUUCUUUUUUGUUAUUUACUUUAUUAUAUAUUUUUAAUUUAUUUUACUAUACUUAUAUAUAGAGAGAGAGAAAGGAGAGUUGAGGACGACCAAUGGCAAACUUGUAAUUAUACUCAUUAUCAAGGGCAAAAGGUCUUUAACUAGAAAAUAUCUCUUUCUUCACCUUUUUUCAAGUUUCUUGAUAUAAAAUAAAAAUACCUUACAAACAUGUUAUUUGUAUACCGCUAUACAUCUUAAUGAAUAUAUUAUAACACAUUAUAUUUUUACCUUGGUUAUUAUGUUUUGUGAUAUUCUUUCUUAGGGUAUGUUUGGUAUGAAGGAAAAUGUUUUCCAUGAAAAAUGUUUUCCUAAAAAUAUUUUCUUGAAAAAUCAGUUGAUUUCUUACUUGUUUUCCUAUGUUUGCUUGGUGGAUGAAAAAUAUUUUAUAGUGUUUGAUUGGUGAAUGAAAAAAUAUUUUUUAAAACAUACAUUCUAGUGUUUAGCUAAAGCGUAAAAAUAUAUUUUAGAAAAAUAAUUUUUUAUCUCAAAAAAUACUUUUUUCGGGGUGCGUUCGAUAUGAAGGAGGAAAACAUUUUCUAGAAAAACAAGUUAUUUCUUACGUAUAUUCGUGUGAUCGUUAUGCAAAUUGGAUAAGUAUAUGCUUUAUAAAAGUAUUUGUAUAUAUUUAACAAAAAUAAUGAGAAUGAAUAGGAUAACAAAGGUGGGAUAAGAAAAAAGUUUUGAAUUUAUUUUAAAAAAUAAAUUAAAAAUAUUAAUUUUUUUUGGAGAGGGGGUUGGUAGGUGGGGGUUGGUGUUGUCAAAAUAGGUAAUAAGGGUGACGUACGGAAAAACAUUUUCUUUAUUUUAUUUUUUUGGAAGGGGGUAGGGUUUUGGAUUUUGGAUAGGAGGUGAGGUGAAAAAAAAAUUAAAAUAUUUUUUAUGGAUGGCGGGUGGUAGGGGGGGGUGAGGGUAGGGGUAGAAAAAAAAAGGGGAGGGGGAAUGAGGGUUGGGGUAGGGAUAAAUGAUUGUGAGAGUUGUAUGAAUAUUUCAACUUAAGAGUGAGGUUGAAAGAGAGUUUUGAAAAAUAUUUUUCUUACUUUUUAAAGGGAAGUCAUUUUUCUUAGAAUUGAGGAAAAUAAGUCAAUUUGGAAAACAUUUUCCAAAACCUUUAAGCCAACCAAACAUGAGAAAAUUGGAAAACAUUUUCUGGAAAAUGUUUCCUUCAUACCAAACACACCCUUAGUUAACUUUUUUUAUUUGUCCCUUGAAAUAUCAAGACAUCAGUUUUUCCCAAAUUGAUCCCUACUAUUCCAAUAAUAUAAAUAUUCUUAUUUUUUCAUUUGAACAAAUUCCUACUUUGGACAUAGAUAUUAUAGAAAGAUGAGUUCAAGGAUGAUCAAGGAUAAAAAAAUCAUCUUUUCAGCAUUCAUUAAACUCACUUGAAAAAUAUCCUCUCUUCUCAAAAAUAUUUCUAGAAACUUCCACCAAUUUCCUUAAAAGGAAAAAUUUCAGAAAUAGCAACCAUAGAGCCUUAAUUGUAACUUUUAUAGCAACAGUUUCAUAAUUACGAAAAAUAACAGAUUGUAUUUUCUAUUUAAGUAAACUGUUGCUAUACAAAUACAUAUACAACAAGAUUUAUUGCCGUUUUACUCAAAUUAGUUAAGUUAAAUAAAGAAUAAUUAUCCCAUCUAAUUAAAUUCCCAUAAAUUACUCUUAUUUAAAUCAGUAGAUUACUUUUCCAAAUCAAACUCAAAUAUGAAGAUUAUCAUUUCCAUGAUCUUCAAAAUUUCAAAAUAUCAUUCUCUUAUAUCUCUAACUAUUUUUUCUUGUUAGUUUUUUCAUUUUUUUUUAUCUUUUUUUAUUUUAUUUUAAUUUCUUUUUCUUUUCUAUUUUUUUCUUUCCACUUUAUUUUCUCUCUUCUACUUUUUUUUUUUUCGUUUUCUUCUUCUUCUUUUUUUAAAUUUUUUUCGCUUUUGUUUUUACACUUCUACUUCUAGUUUUUAUUUCUCUUUCUUCCUUUUUUUUUCCUUUUUCACUUCUUUUUGUUUGAAUUUUUAUCGUUUUUGUUUUUUCUUUUUUUUUUUUAUACUCUUCUAUCUCUAUAUUUUAUUUUUAAAAGAUAAAUAUCUAUAUUAUAUAUACAUAUUCAAAAAUUAUACAAAAUAAAUAGACGUACAGAUCUGCAUAUGUAUUUAUGGUAAAAAGUAUACAUAUAUAUCUACAUAUGUAUUUACAGAAAUAUAUAUUUGACUCACAUGUAUAUAUAAACAUAUAGGACACAAAAUCUCUAUAACAAAAAUGACAAUUAUAUACAUAUACAUAUAGGUAAUAAAAAAAUACAUAUACAUAUAUUAAAACAGUAAAAGAAAACAAGUAAGUACAUAUGUUACUCUCUAAAAUGACAUAAUAUGUAAAGUUCAAAGACAAAUUCAACACUAUAUAAAAUACAUAUCGCUCUGCAUAUGUAUUUACAGAAUACAUACCUGAUCCAUAUAUAUAUUCUUAUUUUAUAUGAGUCACUUUUAUAUUUCGCAAAUACAUAUUGUCACACCCCUUUUUCGUACUCCAAAAGAUUUAUAUUUUAAGUUCGACAGGGUUUUAUUAUUUAAGUGACAAGAAAUGAAAAUUCAUUUCGGAAAAGGAUUAUUUACAUUUUUUAUUCAGAGUCGCCACUUAGCAUAAUCUGGUGUGCCAAGUCACCAUUGAAAAAUCCUUUUCAAAACUAUUUGACUCUUUAAACUGGUUUGCGAACAGAGACUCCGGCUAAGGAAUUCUGUUGACCGAGGGGAAGGUGUUAGGCACCCCUCGAUCCCGUGGUUCAACUACGGUCGCUUGGUAUAGUGUAUCGACUAUUUUUUUUUGACAUUAAGAAAUGUAUAAACCACAAAAGCACUCAAAAUAAUCGAACAAUAAACAAAACAAAACAAUCCUAAAAUGUAAAGUCCAGUCCAAUUAUACAGUCCAAAAAUAGAGAAAUACGAAAAUAUAAAUCCUAUUCUAAACUAAAUCUAGACUAAACUCCAAUGGCUUACCUGAUGCCGCGGGCCUUCAUCACGAUCAUCCUCCGGGUACAAGAUACCUUGGGGCAUUUUUCGGUGAAUAAAUAUAUACAGAUACUUCGGGGCAUUCCCCGGUGAAAUGAAUAUAGUCGAUCCAAAGGCGGUAAACAAAACCUUUCAACACAUAAUCCAAACAUUCCACAAUCCACAAGUUCUAAAUUUUCCUAUCUGAUCCUAUUAUUUGCUUACCCAGCUCGACCAAUCAUGACACUAUUACAAUCAACGAAGUUAAUGAAUCAAAACGACAAUAUUAAUUUUUAUCAACCUUCAAUUCCCGCCCCACUUUUAUUCUCAAAUUAUCAAUUUUAAUUCUCAAACGAGAUAUCAUUUCAUCGUACAAUACGUAAACAAUGAAUCAACACCAAGUAAUUAUACACCAUCAACAAAGAUCAAACAACACGCCAACGUUCAAUCCAUAAUACCGAAUAUCAUAAAGAGUGAAAUAAAAGAGAGGGAGAAGAGAAUCGGACCUCAAUUAUCGAUUUCAAUAUAGUGUUAUCCAAUUAAACGAGAUAGAGUCCGGCCGGGAACCUCGAAUUAAACUUCAACCGCGACCCACCAACUCGAAUUCAAACCGAAUGAAACUCCACCAAUGACAGUGAAUACCCGGAAUCAACAUCCAAACGGAUUUCAAACCCAAAAAUAAAGACCUCGAUAUGAAAAAAAAAAAAACAAUAUCCGAACCCAAAAUGACGACUGAUGAAGCUCAAAAUAUGGUUUUGAUGUUGAAUCACCAACAAAGACGAACCCGAAACUUCAAAAAUCUGAUAGAAAACUAAGCACCCCCACACUUGAACUCCGGUGAGCUAAUGGUGCCUAAAACAGAUAGACGUAGGUCAGAUUUUGGAGAGUUUGAAUAUUUUCUAAAUGGGGUCGCUCGAAAACAUUUAAAAAUGGACUAUUCUAGCGAUAUUCUCAUUUCCCUAUCGGACUCAUCCAGAAAUCAACAAAGAACGACAAGAUUCUGGCAAAAUAGUUGCCAGAGCAGCGACCAAAUCCACUGAAACCCGCUUCUGAGUAACUCGAAAUCAGCACAGUUUUUUUUUUAUUUCAGAUCUCGACUUCGAAUCUCUCUCUCUCUCUCACGCGCGCGCAAAUCUCUCAGCGUGUGUGAUUUCUGAGUGUUGACUGUGCAUGCUAUUUUUCUAUGAAUCAUGAAGAAGGAAGAUGUUCUAUGCGUGCUUUUUUUUUGUAUGCUGAGGUCCGGUCAAAGGUCGAAAAUGGGGAUUCAAAAAUGGUGUGCGUAGGUAGCUUGGUGUGAGUGUGAAUGAAUUCUUGUGCAAAAAAAUAGAGGAUCUGCUCUAUGUAAUAUGUGAAUCGUGAAGAAGAAAGAAAGAAUGGAAUCCUGCCUUUUUUUUUUUUUAUCAAAAUCCCCCUGAAUAUGGUUCCUUUGUGUGUGUAUAUACGCUAUGAGGUGAGGGUGGGGUAGUGAGGUCAAGUAGGUGGGGUGACGUGGGGUAGGGGGUAGGGUGUGAUGUGGUUUAUUUUGAUUGGAUGGGUUGUUAGGAUAAGAUGUAGGGGUGAGGAUAGGAUAGGAUUUGUUAGGGAGUUUGUUAUUUUUUUGUAUUUUGUGAGGGUAUAAUAAUAUGGGUGAGGGUACACGGUAGGAUAAAAUAAAAAUAGGUAAAAGUGAAUAAACAUUGAACUUUAAGAAGACGAAAUCACGUGUCUACACAUAUGAAGAUAUAUAGUAUAGUUAUGCUUGUUACUGUUUAAUAUGAAUAUGAUAUGUAUUUCGUAAAUACAUAUAUAUGUUUUGUACUGUAAAUACAUAUCCAGAUCUAUAUGACUAUUUAUUUUGUAUGUUUUUGAACAUGUGUAGGUGAUAUACAUAUAUGUCUUUUCAAAAAUAAAAGUUAGAGAUAGAAAAGUAAAAAAAAAAAAAAGGGAAAAAAAACAAAAAGGAAAAAUGAAAAAAAGAGAAGUGAAAAAGAAAAAAAAGGAAAAAAGAGAAAAGAAGUGCAAAAAUAAAAGGAAAAAAGAAACAAAAUAAAAUAGAAAAAAGAAGAAGAAAACGAAAAAAAAAAAAGAAAAAAAACGAUAUGAGAAAGGAAAAAAAUAAAACGAAAAAGAAAAAUAAAGAGAAAUAGAAGAGGAAAAAUAAAGCGGAAAGAAAAAAAUGAAAAAGAAAAAGAAAUCACAAUUAAAAAAUAAAAUGAUAAAAAAUAAGAUGAAAAAAAACUAACAAGAAAAAAAGGUAGAGAUAGAAGAGAGUGAAAGAUAGUAAUGAUGUUUUAUUUUGAAAUCUUGAAAAUCAUGGAGAUAAUUAUCUUCAAAUAUGAAAAAGAAACAAAAAAGAGGAAUAGAAGAGAGAAAAUAAAGUGGAAAUAAAAAAAUAAAAAUAAAAUAAAAUAAUAAAAAAAUAAGAUGAAAUAAAGUGUAAAAGAUAUGGCUAUAUUCGGGGAGGUGAAAUAGUGGAGUGAAAAUAAGAAAAUGUAAAGUAGUGAGAGUAAAACAUGCACUUGCCUAGUUAAUGAGUAAAAUAAUGCUACUCUUGUUAUAAACUGUAAGUUUACAAAAAUGUUGUUAUUUAUUGUAUUUAUAGUCUUAAGUAUGCUGCUUUCUGUAAUUUUUCCUUUACAUCCAAAACAAAAAAAAAUCUUUAAGUUUUUUUGGUGCCACAAUUAUUACUAUAUACAAUAGAGAACUUUACAUUUUGGUAGUCUUCACAUCAAUUUUUUUUUUGUCAAUUCUGUUUGUAAUUUAAAUUUUAAUUACUCUACAAAUUUUCAUUCAUUCUGAUAAAUUUGAACAAUUAUUUGAACUUAUUAAAUGCUACAAAAGUGAUGAGUCAUGAAAAAUGAUAGUGACACUAUAAAAACUAUUUAUACAAUUAAAUUCAAAAUUGAUCCAGGGUUUAUUGUCUUUCUAUUUUUUAGAAAUGUUUAUUAAUCUUACUUAAAAGGUUUAUUUUUCAAACAAAUUUAUCAUGAACAAGUAAUUAAAGUAUUUUGACAUUCCCUUUCUAACUUAGUACAUGCUUAAUUAUUAAAUAAAAAAUUACUUUUUAUAUAUUGCUAAAAAUGUUUGAAAGAUUUUUUUUAUUAAAAUAUAAUUUAACUCCUCAAAUAUUAAUGAUACUAAAUAAUAAAAAAUGAGAGUAGUUCUUUUUCACAUUUUUUUAUGAUGAAUUUUUUUAACAAAAAAUGAGAUUAUCAACAUUUUAUAGAAUUUAGGACAAAAUAAAUAAUUUAACAUGAAAUAUUAAAACUUCAUACACGUUUAAGAAAUAUCAACAUAAAUUUCUUAACAUGUAUUUUUAGGAAAAAGAAAUUACUAAAGUUAAUAAUUUUUUUUGUAAUUUUUAAUUUCUUUUGUAUGGUUUAAUAUGAAUGAAAAUAAUUAAGCUAAAUAAAAUGAAGGGUAUUUUGCAAAUAAUCUAUUUAUUCUUAGAAAGAAUGCAACGUAUAUUAUUUUUAGUACUAUAAACCAAACAAUCACUAAAAAAUAAUAACAGGAUAACUAAUCCAAGUAUAACUAAUCCCAAACAUAACUAAUUUCAUCAUAAGUUCAUAACUUAUUUUCCAACCAAACAACCCUAAGUGUGUAGUUUUUUUUUUCUCAGAUUUGUUUUCAGCUCUCUUCAGAUUUUCUAUUUUAAUCGCUGAAUUUCACUCCAGACUGUUUUUGCCUUGAGUCAAAAUUGAUCGGAAACAACUCUAUCUCACAUCACGGUACAUCUAUUUGGAUAUACUUAAACAAACUUGAAAAAGUGAAAUAUAUAUUACGUGAUGAUAAUAAUUUUUUGGUAUCAAUUACACAUCCUAUGUCUCAAUUCAAAUAAUAUAUUUUUCUUUUUAAUCAGUUCUAAAAAAGAAUUGACAUUUUUUAUUUGGUUAGUAUUUAUAACAUUAUUAAUAUUUUAGUCAUGUUGAAUUUCAUUUAUUUGUCAAAAAAUCCACAAAGGUAUACUCUUCUAUUUAAGGUUUACUUAUUUUAAAGAUAAUUUGAAACAUUGCAAAAGUUUUUCAUAUAUCUUAAAUUCAAUGUCUAAUCAAAAUAUUAUAAAUUGAAAUAAAGAGUGACGUAGUUUAUAGGAGGAUAAGCCAAUACUCACAUAUGUUCCAUAAAAGAUAAAAAUGUGAAAUUAAUUUUAGCCACACAUUUAAUUGCAUAGAGUAACUAUUAAUAUAUUAUAGUAUGAUGAUAGAAAAAUACUCAUAAAUAUCAAAUAAGUGUUUAUCUAUCAAACACAAUAAGCGAUUCCUUCAUAAUUUAACUUCACAUGAUACAUAUCAUUACAAGGAUUUGCAGUACAUAUAAUUUCUGAAAAAUAAUUAUUUACUCAACACCUAUUAAAAUUAUUUUGAACAACUUAUUUAAAAUGUACUAUUAACCAACUCAUAUAUCUAUAUCUAUAUCUAUAUAUAUUUAGCUUCAAAACAUAAUAUAUUAUACAUUAUAUAUAUAUAUAUAUAUAUAAUGUUAACUUUUGUUAAUUCUUUUGAGUCUCUUUAUUUGAGGUAAUAAAUUUUCUCAUCAGGUAGACAAAUCACUUAAAAAUAAAUUUCUUACUUACUAUAUUAAACCGGUCUCCUAUUUUUAACGUAUAUAAGACACAACAUAAAAAAUCCUUUAACAUUAUGAUUCAUUAAAAUGUUCAUCCAGUAGGUCCCUAUUUUUAUUUGUUAAACACCCAUAAAAUGAAUUUAAAAUUACUUAAAUUAAUUUAUGUAUGAAUUAGUAUCCUUUAUUGCUUCAUAUGAUUCUACAUAAAAUGUUAAUAAAUAGAUAUCUAUAAUUUUAAUCUAUUUUCUUGUAUAAUUUUUAAAUAAAGUAGAAAAAGAAAAACAUUACAAUUAAUUAUUUAAUCUAAGAAAAUGUGUUUGACCUCAUGUUCAAAUAAGUAUUAGAGUAUAUGAUAUUUAUUUGUUAAUUAUGAAACCUUAAAUAAAUUAUAAGAUAUUAUUUGAUUUCGCAAAAUUAAAAAGUUAUAUAUUAUUAUAUAGUGUGAUUUCUACUUACAUUUCCUAUUAUGUUUUAUUAAAAAAUAUUAAUAUAUAUUUUUUAAAAACUAAUUAAAUAGCUAUAAAUAUAUUUAAAAUUAUAAUAUUGGGUCCGUCCCUUCAUUAUCUAGUAGUAGGGUUGCUUAUUGGUUGGAUAAUUAUGCUUAUUGGUUUGACUUAUUGGCUAUCGGUUUUUAAAUAUACUAAUUCGCUAGCCACCCAAUAGGAUAAUGGUUAGUUCGGUAUCGGAUUAGCAAUUAACGGACGGUUAUCGGAUGAUGUAACAGAUAAAUUUAAGAGAGAAUAAAAUAUUGAGUGAUUAUUGGUAGUUCCUCAGUUUCUUCAUCGACUAAAUUGUUUGUACACUAUGAUUGAUAUAUUUAUCAAUCUUUUAGGAUUCUUGAGUUUUGUUCAUGUAGUUAUUUAAUAGGUUAAAACGUCGAAUCAAAUGAGUUUUUUCUUCUAGACCUAAAAUGUAUGUAGAACAUUUUUAAUUAUUUGAUUGACAGAAAAAAAUUAAAACUUUAAUAUUAUUUGAAUUUUUAUGUUUUAUAUCAAACUUUGUGAAGGACACAUUUGGGUUAUUUCAUUGUUAUUGCGGUCCUUUGUGUUGUCAAGAAUUAUUUAUUUUUGGUUUAAGAAUUAAUUUCAGAUUUUCUAUACAUUUUAGGAAGUCUGACUGCACUUUAUGAUUAAAUGUCACAAGAAGUGACAUAUUAUUUUCUAAACUAAGAAGCGAAUAGAAUAAUAAAUGAAGUUUUAUAUGUUGGAUUGACAAAAGAUACUUAUAUAUCUAAGGGUAAAAAUAUAAUUAUGAUAAUUCUUAAUGGGUUAACGAUUUACCGAUAAGAAAAUUGAGUAAUCCAUCUCCACACCAAUAAGCCAUUAAUUAUAAAAUUUUAAUCCAUUCUUCAACCAUUAAUCUGAUAACCCAUUACCAGUUAACAAAUAAACUAAUUUUACAGUUAGAUUAACGGUUACGGUUCGAUUUUGAACAGCCCUAUCUAGUAGAGUCUUAAUUUGUUGUGUCCCGUAACUGUUUCGAAGCAGAGUGUAUUAUUGGGCUAUCGAAAAAGCCCAAGACAAUAUUCAAAACCAAACUUCCAAAGCCUGAAAAUGGAUACCCAUUAACAGCUCCUAAAAAGAAAGUGUUUAAGCUGGAAAAGCUUUUGAGCAAUGUUGAAAAACUCAUUGUUGUUACUUCCUCGUUUUUCUUUAACUUGUCCAUCCCACAGGUACAUACAUAUACUCCUUAAUCACUCUGCAUAUCUCUUGCUUGUUAAAUUGAAAUUUAAGAUAAUUAUACCCCCAAAAUGAUUGAAUACAUUAUUGCCUAUCACCUGUUUGAUUAUUUGCCCCUAAUGUGUUGGCAUUUUGAAAUUCUGCUCUCCCGUCCAAAAAAAUAGAGAUUAAUUCAUAUAGAGAGUUCUGAACAAUUCUGAGUUGCUCUAUCGGGAAAUGUAGUUGCUGAGGAAGUUCAGAUGUAAAUUGAUUCGUCAGAUGAUAUUAUUCAUUGUAUACAGAUUAGCAAUGUGCUAGGAAGAUAAAAGAGGAAAAGUACAUAAGUUAUGGUAGACUAACAAUUCAACAACAACCACAACAUAUAUGCCCAGAAAGUGGAGUCUGGGGAGGGUUGAGUGUUGAUCAGUCAAGAACUCUCAUAUUCAAAAUCUGGAAGUGACAGAGAUGAGGAUGUUGCGAUGGAUGUGUGGGUAUACUAGGAUAUAUAGGAUUAAAAAUGAGGAUAUCCAAUGAUAAGGUGACAAGAUGCGGGAAGCGAGUUUGAGAUGGUUCGGGCAUGUGAUGAGGAGAUGAUAAAUUGCUUCUACUAAUAGGGAUGAAGUGCUCAUUUUAUUUGCUGAGGAGGAAAAUGAAAAAAAUUAGAAAAGGAAAGCAAUAAUCAUAUACAACAACAACGUACCUAUUGUAAUCCCACAAGUGAGGUUUGGGGAGCGUGAUGCCGGAUGCGUAUGCAAACCUUACACCUACCUUGUGAAGGUAGAAAGCCUGUUUCUGAUACACUCUCAACUCAAGUAAGACAUAAAGAAAAAUUAUAUAUUUUCCUUUAGUUCUUUCAAUUAUUUCACAUCCAUGAGAAGAAAGUAUCGGUGUUGGUUUAGGACUAUAUAUUCAUUUGUAGGUCAAUUUAGGUGCAGCUCAUUUAACCCAUCGGUCCCAUCCAAAGGGUAGCUCAAAUCGACAUAUAAGCGAACUUUGUAAAAAGAUAGAAUCUUAUUGUUAAAUUUAUUAUGUAUAUAGGCAGGAUAUUAAUCAUCUGUAUAAAAGGUACAUCUAAAAUAUUUUUUCGUUUGGUUUUCUAUGUGCAUUUCUGUUUUCUCUACCUUUACUCACACACUUCUUUUCUCUAUAAAGAUCAAAGGAACUUAUCUGGUUGUGAUGUUUGUAGCCCAAAUUUACCCAUAGAAUACCUUGUUAAAAUUUUUUAUUUGUUUGGUUUAUUAAGUAUAUUUCUCAUACUUUCACACAGUUGUCUAUCUAUAAAGAAGAGAAAAACUUUUUUGUUUGGUGAUGGUGAUUAAGCAAACUAAUAGAAAACAAUUGAAAAGAUGGGCUUGGGUUGGGGGAUUGGAUUUGAUGCAUAUUCAAUCCAAAUUGACACGGUAUAUUUUGGCACUAGUAAACUUUGAGGGUGGGGGUUUCGGGUAUGACCCAUCUAUUGGUCCAUUUUGACACACCUAAAUUUAGCCCUACCCACCCAUUGGUACCAUAAGAGAAAGAAAAAAAAUGGUAGGACGAGUUCUAAAAAAACCAAAGCAGGUUCAUAUUGUUACGGAGCACGAACUCAUAAUUCUUAUAGCAUUUCUCGGAAGUAUUUGACAAUUUUAAAUCCCUUGAACUUGGCUUUGUUUGGAAGUUACACACCUAAACUAUAAGGUGCUCAUUUUACCUUUUUGAACUUCCUUUUUGUUGUAUCUAUUGCCCACCCUGAACCAAAAACUUGGCGUAGCUAUAGGUGUGACCUAUAGGUCAUAGGUCCAAGCUGAUAUUUGCAUCAGGUAACAUGGGGUGCUUUGUUAUUGGGUUGCCUUUUUAGAUUUGUAACAUGUUUGGCACAACUAUAUUUUUACAGUCAGAUCUGCUUUUCAAAAUCCCCCGAGAAACACAAACAAAUCCAAUAAAAUAAAGAAGAAAUAAAUAAGUACACAUUAAACAGAGAGUCAUCUGACCAUGUGACGAUUUGUUGUUGGAAGAAAAAGCCAUGUCUAAGCUAUUUUUCACCUUUUUCUUUCUCCCAUGCACUGCAUAGGAGUUGGCACCACUCUUUAUCUCACUAGAUACUCCAGUGUAGUAAUAGGUAAAGUAAAAAGGAAGUUCACGGGGUUCAUGCACACCUAAUAGUUUGUGUAAGACUGUAAGUUGUAAACGGAGCCAAUAUUAGGGGUUUCUUAUGUAUUGUCUCUUUUAUGUUUGAUUGGCUUCAAUGUUUUGUUCUUUUCUUGGUUUAUGAUAUGUACAGAACAGUUUGUUUCACCAAAAUGAGCACAACACCUGGACCUUUGUCUCCUAAAUUUGUUCCUGCUCAAAAGAGUGAAAUUACUUCAGUAAGUAAAUCAGAAGGUAAGUGAAUUAUUUUUAACUUUCUUAUUCAUGUUUGUAUGCUUUUGUUAUACAUCUGUAUUUAGUGUUGGUACUUUUUUGCAGGUUUUAAGUUCAGUCUUGUAUCAUAUAACAUUUUGGCUCAGGUAAUCAGACUUACAUUUUCAAAUUUCUUGAAGAAAGUCUUUUAAUUUUAUUUUUUUAUAAAGUGCAUGCAAAUAAUACUUCAGUAAUGGAAGUUUAAGUGCUGCUUUCUUAGACUAUUGAGCAUCCUUAUAUGGCUAAUACACUGUAAAAGGUUUAUCUUGAAUUUGAAAGCUAAAAAACAAAGUAUUUUUUCAUCAACCAAGGUACUCUUGUGAGUUUUGUGAACAUAUCACAUUUUGGACAAACGAACAAAUGAAAGUCAGAAGAGAGAGAUCCUAAGAAAAAGAAUUUUAGGCCUUCCUCUGCUGGCGUGUGGUUGAAUCAUCGUAUUAAGUAGAGCAUAUAUAGCUUUAUGGGAUAAUCUUUAUCAAUGCACACGUUUGGUGUUAAUUAAUGAAGUGUACUAACAUCCUUGGAUGUCCUUUGCUUUGUCUUUGUGGACUAUAGCGCAAUUCAAGUGAUAUUAUCUCAUACCUUGUCACCUGUAUUCUGAAAAUGCUAGUCAGUUUUAGUUUUUCUUCUUACAGAUGCAAGUCAUUUAAUCUAUCAGAUUGUUUGUAUGGAUUCUGUUUUUCAAUGUUUCAUGGUUCUGAGAUUCUUUAAUUGUAGGCAUAUGUAAAGAGUGCUCUGUUUCCACACUCCCCAGGGCCUUGUCUCAAGUACGUCAUCUAUAUCCAAGUUUUCGUUUUUGCAUCUUCUAUACAGUUUAUUGGAUGUUGUUUCUCCUCUCUUGGAAAUCCAAUGUGAUUGAUGACAUGUUUGAGUGGAGCCAAAUUUACUUGUUUGUAUUGCCUCGCUUUAUGGAAUAUAGCUGAAACCCUGAAACUCCAAUAUGAUUGUUUCAUGUUGCGUCACCUUAUUUUAACAUUCCUUGCCUUCAAGACUAUCUGUGAAACGCUUCGAGACUUGAAAUCAGGAGCCAUAUGACUUGUAUUGGAUUUCAGUAAUUCUGUAAGCUAGUGUUAAUUGAAAGAUACAUAAUUGUGUACUUGUUAAGUCAAUUUUACUUGUUUCCUCUUUGAGUAUUUGAAGAGCAUCUAAUAUAAAGUUUAUUUUAAAAGCAUUGUGAGUUGUGACUUGAAGCCAUGUUGAACAAGUUUCGGUUGAGACAAAGAUUCAAACUUCUUUCUUUUACUCACCAUUUCAGAAUCAACAUUUAUUAAGUGUUGUGUUAGGUGGAAAGCUCGUUCACAGGCAAUCCUGACAGUUCUCAAGAGCCUCGGGACUGAUUUCCUUUGCUUACAGGUUUGGAUAUUUCGAUAAUUUAUUGAGCAACAUCGAUUCAUCUAUUUUCUUUCUAAUAACAACUUCUACACAAAAGAUUGUCGUGGAGUGGCAUCCUUAACCAGAGGUCUCGGCUAAUGAGGUUACCUUUGGUAGGAUGCACUUUACCCCCACAAAGUAGGACCUCCUGACAUGAAUCCAUAGUAGUCGGGUCCUAAAGUGUAUGCUGGAAACCAGAAGGGAAACUGCAAAAAAAAAAAAAAAGAAAAAGAACGAAACUUCUAAUUUCUUCUAGGUUAUCUUUUAAUCAAAAUUGUUUUAUGUGCCAGGAAUUGGAUGAAUAUGACAGCUUCUAUAAAAGAAAUAUAGAGAAUGUUGGCUAUUCAAGUAUCUACGUCCAAAGAAGUGGGCAGAAGCGUGAUGGAUGCGGGAUCUUUUAUAAACUGAAUAGGUGACCGUCUAUCCUCUCUUUUUCCUUGACCUCGAUAAUAAAAAGAAAUGCUAAGCUAAGCAAUGACAUUAUUUGUAUUAUUUGAGGAGACUUGCUGGUCAUUUUGAAGGGGAGCCUUGGAGUAACUGGUAAAGUUGCUGCCAUAUGACCAGGAGGUCAUGGGUUCAAGCCUUGGAAACAGCCUCUGGCAGAAAUGCAAGGUAAGACUGCGUACGAUACACCACUUGUGGUGGGGCCCUUCCCCGGACACUGCGCAUAGCGGUAGCUUUAGUGCCCCGGGCUGCCUUUUUUUUUUUUUUUUACUUACUGGUCAUUUUAUAGAUGCAUUUGGUUUGAAAGUAAUAUGAAAUUAUCAUGCACUGCUUUCUAGCUAAAAAUAAGAUGAUUAGUUAUAAAUUCGUUUAAAUGACGCUUCGGCGUUAUAUCCUGGCAACUUCAAGGGAUCGAAGAGAUGAGUAAUACUGCACAUAACUACAUUUAUUUCACAUCAUUUCCUCUUAGUCCCACCACUUCAAUAGCUUAACUUACUUCUCUCAUGCUAAAGUUAUAUCGCUGUAUCAGUUAACGACUGAUGGAGUUCAGUCCUAUAUCAGAAGUUCUUAUGGUUUGUCAGAAUAAAAUAUUUCUAUAAAACUCAUUCUAUCUGAAAUUUUAUGCUAUUCUAAUAGUGCAGAGUUGCUCAUUGAAGAGAAGAUAGACUACAAUGAUCUUGUACCCUCAACUCAAGAUGAUACUGCUUCUGAGGAUAAAGAGGAGAGUUUAUUACCUGAUGGUGGAAAUAAAAAACUUGCGUCAAAAGGUGGUACUUUUUCUUUUGCCCACCUCGUGUUUGUCUUUACACAUUGGAGCAUGAUCUGGUUUAGAAGUCAUAUAGAGUCGGGGAAACAUGUCUAUAUACAGUUAGCUGCUAAAAAACUCUGUCCAACCUCCAGCUUAAUUUUAAUGAAAUUGCAAUUAAAGCGAUUCAUCUUCUUCCUAUCCUUUUUUUUUUUUGGGAAUUAAUGUGCGCUGGUUUAUUACUGCAGUUAUAGCGAAUUUCCGUCAAACAUUUGAAUUGCUGAUGUAUGUAUAAAUUUUAUGACUAAGACUUUAUAAUCAGAAUAAAAGAGGGGAAUGUAUUUGAAUUGCCAUGUCUCGAUAAGAUCCAAGGAUUCUUGUACAGUUAUAAUUAAAGUAUUCAAUUUCUGGAACUGGUACUCUUGAUAAACUGAAUACUGUUGGAGCUUGGAAGUUGACUUGUCAUUGUCAGCCUCUGAUUUAAUGUAGCAGUCAAUCGGUAUCAAUUAAAUAGAAACUUCCAUUGCAAGGUCUACUGUGUCAUUAUCUUGUUACCCGAGCAAUAUAAUAAGGGAGGCCUUAAUAUCGUAUCAGAAACCUGCAUUUACAUUUGCAGUUGAAAUAGUUAAUACCUCUUGUGCUGGAUCAUAUGUUAAGGUAGAAACAACCAAUAUGUGUGGGAAGAAUCAUACUUAAGUUUGACUUUUGAGGGUUUUGCGAGGAAAAUUGCACAUUGUAAAAGAAAAAUCCUUGGCUUGAACCAGCAUCAAUAGAGUUUGAUUUGGUUUCUGGAAUGUCCAAAUUCUGUUGCAUUGCAUAGCAUAGUGAUCUUGCGAGUUGCCGCAGCGCAUUUUUGAAUAGGCUCUGAAGCAAACUUCGUAGUCAGAAAGAAUCAGCACUUUCAGAAUUGAAUGACUUGAAAUUUAAGAAUUGAAUGACUUGAAAUUGAUAAGAAGGUGCCGCCCAAGCUUAAAGGCAAAUUCUAUAGGGUGGUAGUCCGUCCGGCCUUGCUGUAUGGAGCGGAGUGUUGGCCAGUUAAGAACUCCCACAUCCAAAAAAUGAAGGUGGCAGAAAUGCGGAUGUUGCGCUGGAUGUGUGGACUGACCCGAGGGGAUAGAGUUCGGAAUGAGACUAUCCGGGAGAAGGUUGGUGUGACUUCAGUGGAGUGUAAGAUGCGGGAAGCACGAUUGAGAUGGUUCGGACACGUGAAGAGGAGGGGCAUGGAUGCCCCGGUCCGUAGGUGUGAGAGGCUAGCGUUGGAUGGUUUUAGACGGGGUAGAGGUAGACCGAAGAAGUACUGGGGUGAGGUGAUUAGGCGGGACAUGGAACAGUUACAGCUCACCGAGGACAUGACCCUAGAUAGGAAGGUCUGGAAGACGCGAAUUACGGCAGAGGAUUAGGGCCAGUUCGGGUCGCUAGUGUAGGGAAUUAAUUGGUGGGGGUGUAUUCCUGUUAUGAUUCUGUAUUCAGUGUUUCGUGUUCCGUGUUCCAUGUUUAUUACGAAUCUGGGUGCUUUCCUCUGCUUUAUAUUCCUGCAAUCCUGCUUUACUCUGUUUUAUAUUCCCUAUGGGUGCCGUAUCUAUGUUAUGUCAUCUGCUUCUGUGCUGUACUAUGUGUUUGUGUGAUAUCUCGUGACUUGAGCCGGGGGUCUUUCGGAAACAGCCUUUCUACUUCAUCAGAGGUAGAGGUAUGGACUGCGUACAUCUUACCCCCCCCAGACCCCACUAAGUGGGAAUACACUGGGUUUGUUGUUGUUGUUGUUGUUGAAUGACUUGAAAUUUAACACUUACAAGGGAGAGGCUUUUAAACAUCUCACUUUUGGGAGGUGAAUGAAGUAUUGUGAUGUUUUCUUUUUAAAUCUCAAAAGGCCAAAUAUAUGAAUGAAAAUCAGUUUCGGCAAAAGUGCCCAAUUACAAAAGACAAGGCCCGGUAAAAACUGGACCAAAAUAAACAAAAAAAAAAAAGUUCUCAGGCGCAAUUAGGAUAUAUCUAGAAUCCUCCACCGCAUUCUUCGCCUCUUUGUCUUCGUUGGAGAAAUUCUUUGGACCUGGGCAGAUGCAAUGGAGAAAUCUGCACAAGAGUUUGCAGAAAUCUCCUUGACGUUUCAGCUGCUGAGUGGUACGGCUCUUUGGUGUAAGUCUGAGCUUCUAGCUUUGUUUUUUUCAUGUGAGAUGAAUAAAGUAUUGUGACAUGAUGGGUUAUGGAUUCAUCUUUGCUCCUCAAUGCACAAAUUUGUGAUAAUAGGUGCUCUAAGCUUCAUAAUCCUAUCACCUUGGUAACUGUGAUCUUUCUCAUUCCAAUUUCAGAUGUCAGUUUGAAAAACAGUCGAGCAGAUCGUGGAGACAUAAAUGAUCCUUGUGUUAGAUUAAAACGUGACUCUGUUGGAAUUAUGGCUGCCUUCAGGUUGAAGGAUCCCUGUCAUCUUAUCAUCGUCGCCAACACUCACAUUUACUGGUAUUUCGCAUUAUCCAUUCUUAGUGCAGCACAUUUACUUGGAUGUGUGGAAACUGGACAUUUAAUUUGUUAACUGUGUUCACUGUUGACAUAUAUGAAUGAUAUACUACAGGGAUCCAGAAUUGGCCGAUGUCAAACUUGCCCAAGCUAGAUACUUGCUUUCACGCUUAGCUCAAUUCAAGUUACUAGUAUCUGAUAAAUUUGAUUGCUCGCCUUCUGUGGUUGUUGCCGGUGAUUUCAACUCCGUUCCUGGGGAUCAGGUCAGUUAGUCUCUCAUUUUCCUUUUCAAACAUUUAGUCCUUUUGCGUGUUAUUGCCCGAGCUAUUGAACAACACCAACUUAUUCUAUCUAAGCUGCAUUCAUUUUAUUUGAUUUCCUCAUCUUUCUAGUAGGAAUCUUCGUUUAGCAAAACUAUACUGUGGUUGUAAUAGAAUCUGAAAAGCUACCUCAUGAGGUGACGAUUAUCUGCAGCCAAUUGAGACAACAACCAAUUUAGGACACUCUAACAGCCCCCUUAAUGUAGGCAUGGACAUUUGGAGUGUUUGGAUAACAUACCAUAGGAGCCCAACAUUAAGAAAUACAAUAUGAGUGAUGGAUCAACUUCUAUAUAGUAUAAACUAUGUUAAGAAAAAUAGGUCUCGGGCCAAAGUGAACUUCAAUAAUUAGCUCAUGAGAUGUAUAGGUCUAGCGUGAUUUGUGCUGGGAGAUAUCAUAUCAUCCCUCCCCUUCUUGAAAAGGAUUCGUCCUCGGAUCCAAAACCUUGCAAAAACAUGGGAAGGGCAAAACCACCAACAAUUCCUCAUAGUAUGAGGGAGGAUUCCUAGAUUAGAUAAGGGGACAAUAACCCCACUCUCAACCAAUGUGAGGUUCCAUAUUACAAUACCUAAUUCAUUGACGAUUGUGACAUCAUCCUAACUUACCCACAUUUUAGAAGAUGGUAACCAGAUUGUCUAACUUGUCUACAUUAGACCAUUAGUCAAUUAUCAUGUCAACUUGGAGGACACACUCCAUCUUAAUUUUUUUGUCGUUGUUGUAGUUGGGGAAAGUCUCAUUUUUGGUUUACUCUGAUGUUUGGAUCUUACUAGAGUUGGUUCAAUUUUUUGGAUUUCAGUAUUUUUUAAUUUCUUUGACGAUUACUCAAUUUCUACCUCAAUUUUCUUGAUGAAAUAUUGUUAUGAGUUUGUUUCUGAUCCCAAAAUCUUUCGUGCUAGAAUUGAAACCAUUUGGUAUUUUCAUUUUCAUUUUUCACAGUGAUAAUGCAACACUUCAUGACUUCUUAUUGAAUUAUUCGUCAAAUAUCUUUUCUUUGACAAAGUUAUUCAUAAAAAAAAAAACUAUUUUUGAUAAGGUUAUUCGUCAGACAUCUUGUCCAUACCCUGGACAAGAAAAUGAAUUGAAAAAAAAUAGGCAUAUAAUCAAGAUCGUUCGCAGCCUUUUUAUAUAAUCACAUAUUCAGUUGCGUCUUGAGGGAUACAAUUGUCACUUCUUGAUGACUCAUCUUGCUAUCUGAUUAAUCCUAUUUCUUCUUAUGCUAUCCAGAAUCAAGCAUCACGCUCGGAAUUAUUUUCUCACAUGCCUCUGUGUUCUCUUCCCACUCGUGUCUUUUAAAGCACAUAUUUUUCCCAUAACUUUUACCCCCUGAGGAAACUGCAUUUUGUAAACCUUUUUUGAAAAUGAAAUGCAUUUGUGAACCUUUUUUUGCUGGAGUAAACUUCACAUUAUAAAUAGUGUGAAUGAACUUCUUUGAUUUUGUUAGCUGGUCGGGAUGGAUAUAGGAGUGUUCAUUGUUAAAGACCUAACUGAUUUUUCUGCCGCAAUGUAAUUUUCAGCAUUUACUGGGCGUAAGAUCAAUAAAAUUUUGGCUAUGCCCGAUCGAAUUUGAUAAAGACUUCUAGCAAGUCAAGGAGAACCUCUUAGUGACCCUAAAAGAUAUAGAAGGUUGCAUUUUGUAAACCUUUUUUGAAAAUGAAAUGCAUUUGUGAACCUUUUUUGAAAAUGAAAUGCAUUUGUGAACCUUUUUUUGCUGGAAUAAACUUCACAUUAUAAAUAGUGUCAAGAACUUCUUUGAUUUUGUUAGCUCGUCGGGAUGUAUAUAGGAGUGUUCAUUGUUAAAGACCUAACUGAUUUUUCUGCUGCAAUGUAGUUUUCAGCAUUUACUUGGCGUAAGAUCAAUAAAAUUUUGGCUAUGCCCGAUCGAAUUUGAUAAAAACUUCUAGGAAGUCGAGGAGAACCUCUUAGUGACCCUAAAAGAUAUAGAAGGUUCAUAGGCAAGAUAAAUUACCUCAUUGCAUCUCUGACUUUUUUCUUUUCCUUUUUACGGUGAGUUGUUGUUAGUCAGUUCCUAAAUUCUCCAUGAGAUAGUCAUUAGAAUGCAAUAAUUUGUUUUCUUUGAUAUAAAUCUACUCCAUAGAAAGGACUAGUUACCGAGGAAAUGAACAAAAUUGUUGGGAUCAUUGGACAAUCUUAUUCCUUGUACUUCAUUCUAGUUGGAGGAAACUUGGUAUCUUGGAAAAGUUAAGAUUCUGUGCUGAAGCAGACGAUUGAGCUAUGACAAUGGAAAUAUGUGAACUCUUAUGGGUCAAGCAACUAUCGGAAUAAUUGAAAUUUGAAAACAUUGGUCAAAUGGAACUUGUGUGAGAUAACAAGGUUGCACUCCAUUGCAUCAAAUCCAGUACUUUCAUGGAUAUAUUUCACCAAGACAUUUGCUGGUUCCAAAACAAGUUAUAUAUAUAUAUACAUAUAUAUAUACAUAUAGUAAGCUUGCACAUGUGAUUUGUAUCUUGUUGCUUGAGGGGAAGUGUAAAGAUAGUGUAAUUGUCUAUUAGGAUGAGUUAAAAUCAAUUAGAUUAAUUCUUUCCAUUAUUUUGUAAUCUUAACGUGGUAUACUUGACUAUUUAAAAACAUAACAGCUCAAGAGAAUUUGUUACCUUCUCAAAAAUUUUUUGAAAACAUUGGUCAAAUGGAACUUGUGUGAGAUAACUAGGUUGGUCUUAUUUCUCACAUAUCAAAUCCAGUACUUUCAUGGAUAUAUUUCACAAAGACAUUUGCUGGUUCCAAAACAAGUUAUAUAUAUAUAUACAUAUAUAUAUACAUAUAGUAAGCUUGCGCAUGUGAUUUGUAUCCUGUUGCUUGAGGGGAAGUGUAAAGAUAGUGUAAUUGUCUAUUAGGAUGAGUUAAAAUCAAUUAGAUUAAUUCUUUCCAUUAUUUUGUAAUCUUAACAUGGUAUACUUCACUAUUUAAAAACAUAACAGCUCAAGAGAAUUUGUUACCUUCUCAAAAAAAUAGUUCAAGAGAAUAAUCAUGUCGAGUUUCUAUCAGUUCUCUGUGCUGUCUUAUUUCUCACAUUUUUUAGUUUUUGAACUAUCAUAUUUUUUAUUUCAAAUGCGAGUUAGAAGCAUUGCUUUUCCUGAAAAGCACCUUUGCCUUCUAUUAGUUCCCAAUAGCCGAGUUAUGGCAUUUAAUCAGUGUUCCAGACCACAGUAAACUUUUUCGUUCGAUGUUAGUGUGUUUUUCUCACUUUAUGCUAUAUUUCACUGGGUGUGUUAAGUAAGUUUGUUUUGUUUCUUGCUGUUUCAGGUAUAUCAGUACCUCAUUUCAGGUUCCUCAGUAGUAGGAAAUCUGCCAGAGAGCUCAGAUGAUGUAUCCAUUCCAUUGUGCAGUGUAUAUGCAAGCACUAGAGGUGAACCACAGUUUACAAACUGCACUCCUGGAUUUACUGGAACUCUAGAUUACAUACUAUUUUCUGCUUCUGGGGAUAUCAAACCAGUCAGCUACCUCGAACUUCCGGAGCCCGAAGCGUCAGAUGUACAAGGUGGUCUACCAAAUUACUAUCAUCCUAGUGAUCAUCUCCCAAUCGGUGCUGAAUUUGAAAUAGUUAAAUAGGUUUACUGGUACCAUCAUCAUUGACUGUUUUUUUUUAUCUACAUUAUUGGUUCAUGGAUUGUCUGGUCACCUUUUCUUCCAAUCAAGAUGGAGGUGGUUAAAGAGGUAUUUGUAGCUGCAAUUGUUUUGUAAUUUUAAGCCUUUAUGAACGGACCACGUCAACUAUUUUCGUUAGUGCGUGGAGAAAUAAAUUUUGGUUUCAUUAAAAUGAGUGGAAAGUACAUUUUAAUUAGUUUAUCUGGUCCUAAUGCUUUAUUUUCAGAUUCACUUGUUAGCUGAUUGCAUCGAAAUGAAUUCUUUUCUUAAUAAUAAAGUAGUAUCAUAUAAAUGGAAGAUAGGGUUGUGCAAAAAUCGAACCGGUAAAAAUGUUAUUAGGUUAUUGGUUUUAUAAAAAAUUUUAUUGGGUUAUCGGUUCGGUAUGUGGUAUACUUGACUAUUUAAAAACAUAACAGCUCAAGAGAAUUUGUUACCUUCUCAAAAAUUUUUUGAAAACAUUGGUCAAAUGGAACUUGUGUGAGAUAACUAGGUUGCACUCCAUUGCAUCAAAUCCAGUACUUUCAUGGAUAUAUUUCACCAAGACAUUUGCUGGUUCCAAAACAAGUUUUAUAUAUAUAUAUAUAUAUAUACGUAUAUAUAUAGUAAGCUUGCGCAUGUGAUUUGUAUCCUGUUGCUUGAGGGGAAGUGUAAAGAUAGUGUAAUUGUCUAUUAGGAUGAGUUAAAAUCAAUUAGAUUAAUUCUUUCCAUUAUUUUGUAAUCUUAACAUGGUAUACUUCACUAUUUAAAAACAUAACAGCUCAAGAGAAUUUGUUACCUUCUCAAAAAAAUAGUUCAAGAGAAUAAUCAUGUCGAGUUUCUAUCAGUUCUCUGUGCUGUCUUAUUUCUCACAUUUUUUAGUUUUUGAACUAUCAUAUUUUUUAUUUCAAAUGCGAGUUAGAAGCAUUGCUUUUCCUGAAAAGCACCUUUGCCUUCUAUUAGUUCCCAAUAGCCGAGUUAUGGCAUUUAAUCAGUGUUCCAGACCACAGUAAACUUUUUCGUUCGAUGUUAGUGUGUUUUUCUCACUUUAUGCUAUAUUUCACUGGGUGUGUUAAGUAAGUUUGUUUUGUUUCUUGCUGUUUCAGGUAUAUCAGUACCUCAUUUCAGGUUCCUCAGUAGUAGGAAAUCUGCCAGAGAGCUCAGAUGAUGUAUCCAUUCCAUUGUGCAGUGUAUAUGCAAGCACUAGAGGUGAACCACAGUUUACAAACUGCACUCCUGGAUUUACUGGAACUCUAGAUUACAUACUAUUUUCUGCUUCUGGGGAUAUCAAACCAGUCAGCUACCUCGAACUUCCGGAGCCCGAAGCGUCAGAUGUACAAGGUGGUCUACCAAAUUACUAUCAUCCUAGUGAUCAUCUCCCAAUCGGUGCUGAAUUUGAAAUAGUUAAAUAGGUUUACUGGUACCAUCAUCAUUGACUGUUUUUUUUUAUCUACAUUAUUGGUUCAUGGAUUGUCUGGUCACCUUUUCUUCCAAUCAAGAUGGAGGUGGUUAAAGAGGUAUUUGUAGCUGCAAUUGUUUUGUAAUUUUAAGCCUUUAUGAACGGACCACGUCAACUAUUUUCGUUAGUGCGUGGAGAAAUAAAUUUUGGUUUCAUUAAAAUGAGUGGAAAGUACAUUUUAAUUAGUUUAUCUGGUCCUAAUGCUUUAUUUUCAGAUUCACUUGUUAGCUGAUUGCAUCGAAAUGAAUUCUUUUCUUAAUAAUAAAGUAGUAUCAUAUAAAUGGAAGAUAGGGUUGUGCAAAAAUCGAACCGGUAAAAAUGUUAUUAGGUUAUUGGUUUUAUAAAAAAUUUUAUUGGGUUAUCGGUUCGGUAUCGGUUUAGACCUAACCGAUAACCCAAUAAGAAUACACUAAAAUUAUUAUUUUACCCCUAUUUAUAUUUUUUUAUAUAAAUAUUAAUAUAUAUAUAAAUAUAAUAUGAAUCUAUAUAAGAUAUAUGUAUAGAAAUUGUAUAGUUCUAUCAAAUAUGUAUAUAGAAAGUGUAUACAAAUUAUAUAAUUGUUGUAUAAAGCGUGUAAAAAAAAGUACAGUUAUUAUAUAAAUUAUGUAUCAAAACUGUAUAAUUUCAAUAUAGAAUAUUUAUGUAAAAGAUUUGUAUAAAAUCUGUAUAAAAGUUGUGUAAAAAAGGUAUAGAACCAGUCAGUAAAUUAAAAUGGCUACAAAGUGGAAUUUAAAUUCCAUGGUCAUUUUCAAGGAAAUAGUUUAAUUUGAAGUGCAAAUGUACAGUUAUUAUAUAAAUUAUGUAUCAAAGCUGUAUAAUUUAAGUAUAGAAUAUUUAUGUAUAAGAUUUGUAUAAAACCUGUAUAAAAGUUGUGUAAAAACAGUAUAGAACCAGUCAGUAAUUUAAAAUGGCUAGAAAAUGAAAUUUAAAUUUCAUGGCCAUUUUCAAGAAAAUAGUUUAAUUUGAAGUAUCGUUUCUGUCCUUUCCCCAUUUUAUUAACCAAGGAUCAACUGACCCGACCCAACUUGACCCAUCAUAUCCAAAUAUAUCAACUAAAUAUCUAGUAGAGUUUCUAAAAUGAGAAACUAAGAAAAUCCCUUUCAUCUUCUUCCCUUUCCGCCACAUCUCCAUGGCUUUCUUUGUUAAUGAAUAACUUGAGCUGCUGCUUCUUUGGAUCAUCAAUACUAUCCCACUGGUGUUGUUGAUAACCUCGUCUUUUAGCUUGCAAGAGUAAGCUUCCUUAUUGUUUUUCCUUUCUCCUUCCUGUCUCUGUGUACCUGUUAACCAUUUCUUCGUUCUAGCUGAAAUCUUCAGUAUGUAGGUGAAAUCUAUCGUUUUGAUGCUACAAAAGACGGAUUCAGUCCUUUGAGAAAAGAUACAUCCCCCUAGUAAGAAACCCUCUAUGAAUUUUUUGAAUCCACCUCCUAAUCUUGCAUAUAGCUUGCUCCUCCAUUGAUAGUUGACGAAGGAAGGAAGAUUAUACAGUGCUCGGACCCCGUGACAACUGGUAGAUGUCAAUUUCCUCAGCUGCAAAUCUUGAGAAUCAGACCUCCGAACUCCCUGAUCUACUGAGAGACUAAGAUUGAUGGCUGUACUCACUAAGAUUGAGGAAGAUAUAGAUGUCCUCGAAAAGCUUGAAUAAGGUAAAAAUAUUCUAAUUGUAUUAGUUUUGUAUUAUUAUUGUAAACAAUCGUUAGCAGUUUCGUGACUGAUUAAUAUAAUUUCUCUGUAGAAUUGGCUAAUACUAGCAUUCUUGAUGAUUGACGUUGAGUUGAAGUUCUUCGUUUUUUGCACUUGAAUCUGGGCAUCUGGUGAGCCAUAUAUCCUAGCUAUAAUUUGUUAUAAGUCAUAUAUUUUCUUAAAAUUAGUCACUGAAUACAGUGAAUAGUCUAACACCUAUGUAAGUGCAAUAUUGCUUAAACGAGAAAACAUUCUUGAAGCAAGGGAGUCCCUGGCUAUAUUGACCAAGUAAAUCAUUUGUUUUAUGCAAUUUCUGAAGCAUUCAUAUCUUAAAAGAGUUAGGUUGAAAGAUUAUACAGAGAUGGAGUUCUUGAAUUAUGAAUUCCCACUGAAGCCUUUACUUCCACUGAAUCCUCUGCUGUCUUUCUUCAUCCGACCCAUUUCUGUUUCCAUUUCCCUCGUCUGACCACCUUCGCUACUUGAUCCAGAUGAAUUCUAUUUUAUAAGUAUUUUUCUUAUUGGUUAAACCGAAAGCCGAACCGUUAAGAAUCAAUAACCGAUAAAUCGAAAACUGAUAAAAAAUAUCUUAUUGGUUGGUUAUUGGUUCUGCAUAUUUAAAAACUGAAAACCGAUAAACCGAAUCGAUAACACACAAAACCGAAUUGAACCGACCGAUGCCCACCCCUAAUGGAAGGUAAGACUGCGUACAAUAAAUUCUUGCGGUUCGAUCAUUCCUCAGUCUCUGCGCAUGACGGAAGCUUCGGUGAACUGAUCUACCCAAUAAUAAAGUACUAUUGCAAUUUGGAUAAAUUCAAACAACUAAUUAGUGGAGGAAUCUCGAUAGUACGCCCUAAGCGAAAAUGGGAAAAAAGGAGAAGAAAAUAAACUUAUAGAAUUAAAGUUAUACCUUCUGUAUCAGAGAGUCACAGUAGUCCUACGUAUGUAUAUAUGACGUAGUUACGUCUUUCUAACCAUAUACAGUUGAUCACUUUUGCGUAGGCCGGUCAUAUUUUGAUUCAAAUCAAAUCAAAAUUUAAUUUUGGUUUCGAUUUUUCGAUUUCUUUGGAUUGAUUUUAGUUUCAAAUUUUAGAAAUUCGGUUAACGAUUUGGUUUUUGAUUUUUUCAAAAAAUAAAUAAAUUUAGUUAAAUCGAAAAAUCAAAAUUAUAUAAAUAAUAGUAUAUAUAUUUUAUUUUAUAUAUUCAGUAUAAAUAUAAUAGGUAAUAAGUUACUCAAACUGCCACACAUCUUACGAGUUACGAGUUAUGUCCCUAACCCUAAGUGUUCAGUUCAACACUUCUUGUUGACUUGUUUCAGGCUUUUAGCGGCGCCUCGAAGAGACGAGACAAUGAGUGUCGAGUAUCCGGCUGCAGUUAUAUGUUAUGUUAAACUUAUGGUCAUUUCAUUUCAUUUCAUUCGUGUUGAGUUAUUUAUAUUUGGCAAUGAAAAAUAGAUUUGAAAGAAAUAAUUUUUCUAGAAAAAUCACUAAUUUUAAAUGCCCAGUCAUGACAAAGAAAGGCUCACUACUUUAAUCUUCAAAACCGAAAGAAAAAUUCAAAAUAACAGAAUCAAAUUUAUAGAAAUCGAACCAAAUCAAAUUUAUUUUGGUUUAGUUACGGUUGUCAUUGUUGGGUUCAUAGUAAUGAAAGGGUGUGAAUGAAAAAAAUGGGGAGUAAAAGGGUGGAGGAAAGGAGACACUAAAAAUGAAAAGUGUACUCCUAAAAUGACAAGUUUACUCUUUCUCCCAUAUUGGUGGAAAAAGAGAACUUGAGAGUGUUUAUAAUGAGAAACACUUACUCCACAUGGCAAGUGAGACAAGAAAUAAAUGAUGCCUCGCACAGUCGUCGUCGCUCGCUCUGCUUCGGAUUUGGAUUUGGAUUUGGAUUUGUCAAAUGAUCGAUGAGAUCUAUCUUUUUGGACAAAAUUUAUUUGAAUUCUGAAGAAUGCCAAGGAAAAAUGUAAUAAAAUUUUUCUGCACUAUUUCGGCCUCCGUUUAUAUAUAUACAUGCAGUAACAGUGUUUCAGAACUGAUGCAUCUGUUUGACACUGUUGCACUGUUUCAAAUUGUUGCUUCUAUUACAGAAGGUUGCACUAUUUCAGAUUGUUUCUUCUGUUACAGAAGAUUGCACAGAUUGUUGCUUCUGUUACAGAAGAUUGCACAGUUUCAGAAAGUUGCAACUCUUCAAUGAAAAUACACAUUGUUUCAGAGAACCAGUGCACUGUUUCAUAAAAAUACUGCAUUGUUUUAAGUGAAUAGACAUGCAUUUUCAGGAAGAGUCACACACCUCUAUUAUGAACCAAUGCCACCUUUUCAAAGGGGCAUCUAGUGGCUAUAUAAACCCGGUUUCAUCCACAGGUUUAUGAUAUAGAAAAUACAGAAAUUUUUAGAUUACAAAAUAUUUUUCUUGUCUUAAAAAUACUCUAAGUGUGAUCAUUCAAACCGUGAGUGUGUUCGAAGAAUCCGCCUAUUUGAGGUACCGCUAUAGUCGGAUUGAAUGCCAUUUUAUCCUGGGCUGAAGAUUCCAUAACCUCGGGUACAGUAAGGAAAGUCCGUGAAUUCGGACGACUUGGCCUUAAACAUUUCUGUUUCAUCUUUAUUUUCUAAAAGAUAAAUAUACCUCUUGGAAAUGUCCUUUUGAUCUUGUGUUGAGGGUAUUUAAAACUUCAUUGUGUUCUUGUUCAUACUUGAACACGAGUUAAAGUUGUUGUUUUGUUAUACAGAUUCUACGUACCCAUAUUGUGGAAAAUAAUAAUCUUAAGGAAUAACUUUACAGAAUCUUUAUUGCUUAUUUUUGGAGAUUAAAGCUUAUGCUUUGUAUUCCGCUUGAAUUUAACUAGUGAUUAGAAGACAUAAAAUCUUCAUCACAAGUUAAGGUUCACUCAGUUGACGAUUCGAAGUAAUAAAAACUUCAUCGUUAACUAGAAACAAGAAGAAGAGUUUCAAGUUACUUAACUUUAUAAAUNNNNNNNNNNNNNNNNNNNNNNNNNNNNNNNNNNNNNNNNNNNNNNNNNNNNNNNNNNNNNNNNNNNNNNNNNNNNNNNNNNNNNNNNNNNNNNNNNNNNNNNNNNNNNNNNNNNNNNNNNNNNNNNNNNNNNNNNNNNNNNNNNNNNNNNNNNNNNNNNNNNNNNNNNNNNNNNNNNNNNNNNNNNNNNNNNNNNNNNNNNNNNNNNNNNNNNCAAAUAAUAUUGCCACAUCAAGUCGCACAAAUGCUCCGCCAACGAUGGCACCGGCGGAGAAGCCCGAAAAAUUUUCUGGCAUCGACUUCAAGCAGUGGCAACAAAAGAUGUUCUUUUACCUCACCACUUUAUGUCUACAAUGGUUCACUAGCGAAGAUACUCCCGAGGUGCCCGAGGAAACCUCGGACAAGGACCGCUUCGUUAGUGUAGAAGCUUGGAAAUAUUCGGAUUUCCUUUGUAGGAACUAUAUUCUGAGUGGUCUCCAAGACGACCUCUAUAAUGUCUAUAGUGGAACCAAGACAUCAAAAGAACUGUGGGGGGCACUUGAACGGAAAUAUAAAACGGAAGAUGUGGGAAUUAAGAAAUUCCUUGUUGCACGGUUCCUGAACUUCAAAAUGAUUGACAGUAAAUCUGUUGUCUCUCAAGUACAGGAGAUGCAAGUCAUCAUACAUGAUCUCCUAGNNNNNNNNNNNNNNNNNNNNNNNNNNNNNNNNNNNNNNNNNNNNNNNNNNNNNNNNNNNNNNNNNNNNNNNNNNNNNNNNNNNNNNNNNNNNNNNNNNNNNNNNNNNNNNNNNNNNNNNNNNNNNNNNNNNNNNNNNNNNNNNNNNNNNNNNNNNNNNNNNNNNNNNNNNNNNNNNNNNNNNNNNNNNNNNNNNNNNNNNNNNNNNNNNNNNNNNNNNNNNNNNNNNNNNNNNNNNNNNNNNNNNNNNNNNNNNNNNNNNNNNNNNNNNNNNNNNNNNNNNNNNNNNNNNNNNNNNNNNNNNNNNNNNNNNNNNNNNNNNNNNNNNNNNNNNNNNNNNNNNNNNNNNNNNNNNNNNNNNNNNNNNNNUGUGAAUGAUGCUUUCCAAGUAGCAGCGAUAGUUGAGAAGCUACCACCUUUGUGGAAAGACUUCAAAAACUACUUAAAGCAUAAACGCAAGGAGAUGACCGUUGAAGAUCUUAUCGUCCGACUUCGUAUUGAAGAGGACAAUAAAACUGCCAAAAGAAGGUCAAAGGGAAAUUAUACAAUGAAUGGAGCCCAAAUUGUAGAAGAUGACCAAAACAAAUCGAAGAAAAGAAAGAAAGUUGAACAUGGAAGCAAUCAACCCAAGAAAAAGUUCAAGGAAAAAUGCUUCAAUUGUGGCAAAAUUGGCCACAAGUCCACAGAUUGUCGAGCCCCAAAGAAAGGCAAGAAAAAGGACCAAGCGAACAUGAUUGAGUCCAACAAAGAAUAUGAUGAUUUGUGUGCUAUGUUCACGGAAUGUAACUUGCUGGGGAAUCCACGCGAAUGGUGGAUGGAUUCUGGUGCCACACGCCAUGUUUGCGCAAACAAAGAGUUGUUCUCGUCAUUUGCUCUGGCUCAACAGAAGAAAUGCUUUACAUGGCCAACUCCGCUACUGCUAAGGUGGAGGAAACAGGCAAAAAUUUGCCUAAAGAUGACUUCCGGCAAGGUCUUGACACUAAACAAUUUGCUAUAUGUUUCGGAGUUACGUAGGAACUUAAUUUCUAUUUCACUCCUAGAUAAGAAAGGAUUCAAAUGUGUAACCGUUUCUGGAAAAAUUGUAGUUAGCAAAGGAGAAAUGUAUGUAGGAAAAGACUAUCUCACGGAGGCCAUGUUAAUUACAAAACAUUACGAAAACUGAUUAACUUAGAAGUUUUGCCAAACUUUGAGUGUAAUAAAUCAAAGUAUCAAACGUGUGUGGAAUCGAAGUAUGCAAAGCAUCCUUAUAAGUCCGUUGAAAGGAAUUCCAAUCCCUUAGACUUAAUAAACACUGACAUUUGUGAUAUGAAGUCAACACCAUCUCGUGGUGGGAAAAAGUAUUUCAUAACUUUUAUUGACGAUUGCACUAGAUAUUGUUAUGUCUACUUGCUAAAUAGUAAGGAUGAAGCAAUAGGUGCGUUUAGGCAAUAUAAAACUGAAGUUGAAAAUCAGUUAGACAAAAAGAUCAAAAUGAUAAGAAGUGAUAGGAGCGGAGAAUAUGAAUCUACUUUUGCGCAAAUAUGUGUAGAGAAUGGAAUAAUCCAUCAAACUACGGCCCCGUAUUCACCUCAAUCUAAUGGAAUUGCGAAAAAGAAAAAUCAAACUUUGAAGGAAAUGAUGAAUGCCUUACUUAUAGGUUCUGGUUUAUCGCAAAACUUAUGGGGGGAGGCUAUCAUUACGGCCAAUCGUAUACUCAACAGAGUUUCCCAUAGUAAGACACAAUCAAUUCCUUAUGAAAAAUGGAAAGAAAGGAAACCUAACUUGAAAUUUCAAAGUGUGUGGGUAUCUAGCAAAGGUACAAGUUCCUAUACCUAAAAGGGUUAAGAUAGGACCUAAAACGGUGGACUGCGUGUUCAUAGGAUAUCCUAAAAGUAGUAAAGCAUGUUGAUUUUUGGUUCAUAAAUCCGAAAAUCCGGAUAUUAGUAAAAAUACGGUAAUUGAAUAAGACAAUGCUGAAUUCUUUGAAAACAUUUACCCCUAUAAAAUUAGACAUGCACAGUUUAACGGAGGAUCUAAAUGACCUCGAGAUGAACCAAGUGAGAAUGUACAUAAUGAAGAAAAUCCAAGAUGCAGUACAUGUCAAAUAACGUUAACUUCAUUUGGAUCGAAUUUUGUAACAUUUCUCUUAGAAAAUGAGCCUCAAACAUUUAAAGAAGCGAUGUCUUCGUCAGACUCAUCCUUUUGGAAAGAGGCAGUCAAUAGUGAGAUAGAUUAAAUCUUAAGCAACCACACAUGGGAAUUGGUUGACCUUCCUUUAGCUUCUAAAUGGAUCUUUAAAAGGAAAAUGAAGGCGGAUGGUACUAUUGACAAAUACAAAGCAAGACAUGUAGUAAAAGGCUUCAAACAGAAGGAAGGCCUUGAUUACUUUGAUACAUACUCACCAGUAACAAGGAUAACCUCGAUUCGAAUGUUAAUUGCCUUGGCGGCGGUAUACGAUCUUCAAAUCCAUCAAAUGGAUGUGAAAACCGCAUUCCUAAAUGGAGAUUUGAAAGAAGAAAUUUACAUGGAAUAACCUGAGGGUUUUGUGGUUCCAGGAAAGAAAAACAAGGUGUGUAAACUCACCAAGUCAUUAUAUGGACUAAAGCAAGCACCAAAACAAUGGCAUGCGAAGUUUGACCAAACCAUGUUGAUAAACGGAUUCAAAAUAAAUGAAUGUGAUAAAUGUUUAUAUUAAAGACACUCCAAAUCACCAAGUCAUUGUAUGUUUAUAUGUGGAUGAUAUGUUGAUCAUCAGUAGAGACAUUUCUGACAUAAAUGCAACAAAACGAAUGCUCGAGAGCAAGUUUGAUAUGAAGGACCUUGGAGUUGCAGAUGUGAUCUUAGGUAUAAGAAUCCAUCGAACUCCACAAGNNNNNNNNNNNNNNNNNNNNNNNNNNNNNNNNNNNNNNNNNNNNNNNNNNNNNNNNNNNNNNNNNNNNNNNNNNNNNNNNNNNNNNNNNNNNNNNNNNNNNNNNNNNNNNNNNNNNNNNNNNNNNNNNNNNNNNNNNNNNNNNNNNNNNNNNNNNNNNAAUGAAAAGAGUUUUUGGGUAUCUUAAAUACACUCAAAAUUAUGCUUUGCAUUAUAAUAAAUAUCCUGCGGUACUUGAAGGAUAGUGAUGCAAAUUGGAUCACUGAAUCGAACGAAGUAAAAUCUACAAGUGGAUAUGUAUUUACUAUCGGUGGAGGAGAAGUUUCUUGGAAAUCAUCCAAACAGACUUGUAUCGCUCGCUCUACAAUGGAAUCUAAAUUUAUCGCAUUAGAUAAAGCCGGUGAAGAAGAAGAAUGACUCCAAAAUUUCUUAGAAGAUAUUCCGUAUUGGCCCAAGCCAGUGGCACCAGUAUGUAUACAUUGUGAUAGCCAAGCAGCAAUAGGUAGGGCAGGGAGCAUGAUGUAUAACGGUAAAUUUCGUCAUAUAAGACAAAGACAUAAUACCAUUAGAGAACUUCUCUCUAGUGGAAUUAUCAUUGUAGAUUAUGUAAAGUCGAAGGAUAAUGUGUCAGAUCCACUUACAAAAGGCCUAUCUAGAGAAGGAGUAGAAAGGACAUCUAAGGGAAUGGGUUUAAGGCCUAGGACAAGUUAGCAUGGCGGUAACUCUACCUAGCAGACUGGAGAUCGCAAGAGCUAGGUUCAAGGAGAUCAAACAAAGUUGUGUCUAAUAGGUUCAACAUUGUCAAUUACCCAACUCAUUCUCAUGAUGUAGACAAUGUAUAGUAAACAAGGAUAAGACUUAAGGUGAAAAGUCUUUUAAUGCUUAACUAAAUUUGACAGAUUUGACCAAAUAGUUUAAUCUACAGGAUUGAACUUUUAGAAAUCACCUAUGUAUGGCAAAGUGGAAGCCACUUCAAAGAGAAUGUUAGUAAAAGCUUAUUCUCUAAGCUCUCAUGAAAACCGAGACGUGUUCAUGGCUGAAAAGAACAAAAUCGUAAGAACCAUAAACGGUAAAAGUCUAGUUAUGUGACAUGUGUUGUCUAGGUGUACAUUAAACUCGGCGGUUCAAAGAUAUCAAAUCUACCGAUUGACCGAGUGCAUCCGAUGCAUGUUUACUACGGAAAGUUCAAAGGGAAACCCACUUAUCCAGAUGCAAUCAGUCUUUGCUUGAUGAUCACAUACUUGUCCAUAAAAGUUUUACGAAAAAUAGUCAUUCCUCAUUCAUGUGGGGGAUUGUUGGGUUCAUUGUAAUGAAAGGGUGUGAAUAGAAAAAUGGAGAGUAAAAGGGUGGAGGAAAGGAGACACUAAAAAUGAAAAGUGUACUCUCAAAAUCGCAAGUUUACUCUUUCUCCCACGUUGGUGGAAGAAGAGAACUUGAGAGUUUUUAUAAUGAGAAAUACUUACUCCACAUGGCAAGUGAGGCAAGAAAUAAAUGAUGCCUCGCGCUGUCAUCGUCGUCGCUCGCUCGGCUCGACUUCGGCUUCGGCUUCGAAUUUGGAUUUGGAUUGAUCGAUGAGAUCUAUCUUUUUGGACAAAAUUUAUUUGAAUUCCGAAGAAUGCCAAGGAAAAAUGCAAUAAAAUUUUUCUGCACUGUUUCGUCCUCCGUUUAUAUAUAUACACGCAGUAACAGUGUUUCAGAACUGAUGCGUCUGUUUGAAAUUGUUGCACUAUUUCAGAUUGUUGCUUUUGUUACAGAAGGUUGCACUAUUUCAGAUUGUUGCUUCUGUUACAGAAGAUUACACAGUUUCAGAAAGUUGUAACUCUUCAACAAAAAUACACAUUGUUUCAGAAAAAUACUGCAUUGUUUUAAGUGAAUAGACAUGCAUUUUCAGGAAGAGUCGCACACCUCUAUUAUGAACCAAUGCCACCUUUUCAAAAGGGCAUCUAGUGGCUAUAUAAACCUAGUUUCAUCCACAGGUAUAUGAUAUAGAAAAUACAGAAAUUUUCAGAUUACAAAACAUUCUUCUUGUCUUAAAAAUACUCUAAUUGUGAUCAUUCAAACCGUGAGUGUGUUCGAAGAAUCCGCCUAUUUGAGGUACCACUAUAGUCAGAUUGAAGGCCAUUUUAUCCUGGGAGAAAGAUUCCAUAACCUCGGGUACAAUGAGGGGGAUUAUUACUUAAGGAAAGUCCGUGAAUUCGGACGACUUGGCCUUAAACAUUUCUGUUUCAUCUUUAUUUUCUGAAAGAUAAAUACACCUCUUGGAAAGGUCCUUUUGAUCUUGUGUUGAGGGUAUUUAAAACUUCAUUGUGUUCUUGUUCAUACUUGAACAAGAGUUGAAGUUGUUGUUCUGUUAUACAGAUUCUACGUACCCGUAUUGUGGAAAAUAGCAGUCAUUUUCGUCAAUUCGAAAACCAAAAACUUGAACCGAUAUUAAACCGAACAAAUCGAAUGCCAACCCCUACUUUUCUUGAAUCUAUCCUUCAUAUUAUGUUAGGUUGUAUGUGUUAAUAUUUGUUUCAUAAUAAUAUUUUCUACAACAGUCAACAGAUAUAGACACAACCAAUAUUGUUAGAGAGGUUUGAUCGUAUUACUGCUCGAUGUCAUACAUCUCUUUCAAUUUUAAUUAUCACAGAAUGACGAAUCCAUCCCCACUUUCCAAAACAAAAGGUAGUGCUUUGUACAGUAAUCUAGAUGUCCAAAUCAAUCUAUAAAUCCAUUAUGUCUCAAUUCUGAACCAAUCUCUAAAUUUCGAGAAGAAUCUAGACAAGGUACAUACAUAAUUUUUUUUUUAUUAUUAUCUUCUUUUUUUUUUUAAGUAAAAACCAUCUUCUUGAUCAUUGAUAAUCAUAAAGUUACCAUUUGAGUUUAGCAUCCCAAACUUAAUACAUGAUCAUUGAGCCGAGACUAAAGACCAAAGACUAAAGGUAAAUACUUUAAUUUGCACAACAAAGAUAAACAAUACUUAAAAGAGUACUUUAACAUAUAAACAAUUUACAAUAAUUCUUACACGAUUAAUUAGAUCACGAUAACAUGUUAUAACAGGUUAAAUUACAGAGUCGAUCGAACUCAGUUUAAUUUGGAGGAAGGACAGGAACAGAGAAGUAAGGAUCAACCUCCUCACUGCCAUUGUUGCAAAUCCACUUAUAAAAUGCUUUAGCCUUUCUCAUAAUGUAGGAAUAAGCUGCUGCCACCCACAAUGAUGAACUGCUACUUUCUUGCUCGUCACUUGUUUCGUCACAUAACUUCUUGUGUCCUCUUCUUUGCUUCAAAUACUUACCUUUCAAUCCCAUUUACAAUUAAGAUAUUUGGACAAGUAAUUAAUAAAGUGAUUCACAAUAAAAGUAAGUUUUUGUGUGUGUGUGUGUGUAUGUGUGUGAGGUGGGUUGGGGUUGAGAGUUUAGAGAUGAUGGAAGAGUAAGAAGUGCUUUUGGUUAACUAUGAUCUAAACUGCGUGAUGGUUUAAAUAGGAAGGAAUGGCGUUAUUUGAGUACAAGUUUAUCAAGAAUAAGAAUUGUUGCUUUCAUUUUCAAUGGUUGGCAAUAGUUUUGGGAGAACGUUACAAAAGAUUUCAUUUUGAUGUUGAUUUUCUAUGUGAAAGAAAUUGCCGAUCCCUACUUAGCUUCCAAUAUAUGUGACAUAGGUUAAAUAUUAAAUAGACAGAAAGAAAUAAAGUUUUCUAAAAAUUUGUAAUCUUAAAUGGAAUAUUUAUACCCCUUCCCUCCUGUUUAAAUUUGUUUAUUUUACUUUUUUUAGUCCAUUUUAAAAAGUAUUUUUUUUGGGCAACUCUUUAAUUCUAACUUUCCACGUGACAUGUUAAAAUCAUAAAAUUAAGGUUAUUAUGAUACAUUAUACAUAUAUUUAAUUUAUGACCACAAGAUUCAAAAAUCUUUUCACUUUCUCAAAUCCAUGUCAAGUCAAAA
rnacentral:lncRNA from 1 species